rnacentral:lncRNA from 1 species
AAGAGGAUAGUAGCAUUGUCCCUUCUCUCUUUUUCUCUCAUUUUUUUGGGCCUUCCCUUUUUUAUGGCCUUUCUCUUUUUUAUGGCCUUUCACUUUUUAUGGCCUUUCUCUUUUUUUUAUGUCUGAAGUCUCAUCCCGACUUGUGGGGGAAUCAUAGUCUCCAUCAUCCUUUCCUCACUUGGGACAAUGCUCUAAUAAUGAAGACCAUCACACUUUUAUUUACUUACAUACAACUCGAUACUUAGAACAAAAUAUGACUCUAUGUGGAUGCCUCCGGCAGUGUACCGAGAUAUGCAAUGAAUCAAGAGUGACAUGUAUGAAAAAUUAUGCAUGGUGGCUUUGCCACAAAUAGAUGUCAACUACAUGAUCAUGCAAAAGCAAUAUGAGAAUGAUGGAGCGUGUCAUAAUAAACAGAACGGUGGAAAGUUGCAUGGCAAUAUAUCUCAGAAUAGCUAUGGAAAUGCCAUAAUAGGUAGGUAUGGUGGCUGUUUUGAGGAAGGUAUAUGGUGGGUGUAUAGUACCGAUGAAAGUUGCGCGGCACAAGAGAGGCUAGCAAUGGUGGAAGGGUGAGAGUGCGUAUAAUCCAUGGACUCAACAUUAGUCAUAAAGAACUCAUAUACUUAUUGCAAAAAUCUACAAGUCAUUGAAACAAAGUACAACGCGCAUGCUCCGAGGGGGAUUGAUUGGUAGGAAAAUACCAUCGCUCGUCCCCGACCGCCACUCAUAAGGAAGACAAUCAAUAAAUAAAUUAUGCUCCAACUUCAUCACAAAGCGGUUCACCAUACGUGCAUGCUACGGGGAUCACGAACUUCAACACAAGUAUUCCUCAAAUUCAUAAUUACUCCACCAGCAUGACUCUAAUAUCACCAUCCUCAUAUCUCAAAACAAUUAUCAAGCAUCAAAUUGAUCAUAGCAUCCAAUUCACUUCUAUGAUAGUUUUUAUUAUACCCCACUUGGAUGCCCAUCAUUCUAGGACCAAUUUUAUAACCAUAGAAAAUACCAUGCUAUUCUAAAAUUCUCUCAAAAUAAUAUAAGUGAAGCAUGAGAUAUCAACAAUUUCUACAAAAUUAAACCACCGCCGUGCUCUAAAAGAUAUAUGUGAAGUACUAGAGCAAAUGACAAACUACUCCGAAAGAUAUAAGUGAAGAUCAAUGAGUAGUCGAAUAAUUAUGCAACUAUGCGAAGACUCUCUAACAUUUAAGAAUUUUAGAUCUUGGUAUUUUAUUCAAACAGCAAGCACAACAAAACAAAAGAAAAUGACGCUCCAAGCAAAACACAUAUUAUGUGGUGAAUAAAAAUAUAGCUCCAAGUAAAGUUACCGAUGAACGAAGACGAAAGAGGGGAUGCCUUCCAGGGCAUACCCAAGCUUAGGCUCUUGGUUGUCCUUGAAUAUUACCUUGGGGUGCCUUGGGCAUCCCCAAGCUUAGGCUCUUGCCACUCCUUAUUCCAUAGUCCAUCGAAUCUUUACCCAAAACUUGAAUACUUCACAACACAAAACUCAACAGAAAACUCGUAAGCUCCGUUAGUAUAAGAAAAUAAAACCACCACUUAGGUACUGUUGUGAACUAAUUAUAAAUUCAUAUUGGUGUAAUAUCUACUGUAUUCAAACUUCUCUAUGGUUCAUACCCUCCGAUACUACUCAUAGAUUCAUCAAAAUAAGCAAACAACACAUAGAAAACAGAAUCUGUCAAAAACAGAACAGUCUGUAGUAAUCUGUAUCAUUCGAAUACUUCUGUAACUCAAACAUUUCUACCAAAUUAGUAAAACCUGAGAAAUUUGUGUACCAAUCCAGGGCAAAACGAAUCAGAUCAAAAGCAUGUUUCUGUGAAUUAUCAAAACUAAUUUACUGGGUGCAAAAGUUUCUAAUUUUCAGCAGGAUCAACACAACUAUCACCGUAAGCUAUCCUAAAGGUCUUACUUGGCACUUUAUUGAAACAAAAGCUAUAAAACAUGAUUACUACAGUAGCAUAAUCAUGUGAACACACAAGAAUAGUAAAGGUAAAUAUUGGGUUGUCUCCCAACAAGCGCUUUUCUUUAUUGCCUUUCUAGCUAGGCAUGAUGAUGGCAAUGAUGCUCACAUAAGAGAUAAGAAUUGAAACAUAAUGGGAGCAUCAAGAAGCACAUGACUAGCACAUUUAAGUAUAACCCACUUCCUAUGCAUAGGGAUAUUGUGAGAAAACAACUUAUGGAAACAAUAAUCCACUAGCAUAGGAAGGCAAAACAAGCAUAGCUUUAAGAUUUUCAACACAUAGAUGGGAAACUUGACAUUAUUGCAAUUCCUACAAGCAUAUGUUCCUCCCUCAUAAUAAUUUUCAGUAGCGUCAUGAAUAAAUUCAACAAUAUAACCAGCACCUAAAGCAUUUUUUUUCAUGAUCUACUUGCAUAGAAAUUUUACUACUCUCCACAUAAGCAAAAUUCUUCUCAUUCGGAAUAUUGGGAGUAUCAUAGGAGACUCGAAUACUAUAAAUUUUUCCACAUUAAAAUAGUAAUGUUCAGAAAAAGGGUAAUCAUAAUCAUGACAAGUUUUAUAAAUAUAAUCAUCACUACUUUUUAUAGCAUAAGUUUCAUCACAAUAAUCAUCAUAAGUAGCAAGUUUGUUCUCAUCAUAAUCGAUUGAAACCUCUUCCAAGAUAGUGGAAUCAUCACUAAAUAAAGUCAAGACCUCUCCAAAUCCAUUUUCAUAGAUAUUAUAAGAUUCCACAUCCUCCAAAAUAAUGGGAUCAUUACUUACUAAACUUGACACUCUUCCAAACCCACUUUCAUCAAUAUAAUCAUCGUAAGUAGGAGGCAUGCUAUCAUCAUAACAAAUUUGCAUAACAAAACUUGGGAGGCUAAAAAUAUCAUCUUCAUUAAACAUAGCAUCCCCAAGCUUGGGACAAGCAUCAAUUGCAGCAAAUAUAUUCUCAAAUAUGUCAUUCUCAUCAAACAUAGCUUCCCCAAGCUUGGGCCUUUUCAUAUCAUAAGCAUAAUCACUCUCAUCAUUAAUAGUAUGGAUAGCACCAAUAGUAUAGCAAUUAUUAUCAUCACAAUGAGUAGUAGGAGCAACAUCAUUUGGGAGGGAUACCUUUCUUCCUUUGCUUCUCCGUCUUUUCUUUUUCUUCUUCACAUCAUGUGUGGGUUUAUCCCUCCUUUUUAAGCUCCUUAUUGAUGAGAUUGGUUGAAUAGAAAGCUCCUCCUCGUUACCUGAUUCAUCAUAAGAAAUAAUUGGAGGAUAUUGGGAAGUCUCUUCCCUUUCAUUAGUAUUCUCAUCAUCUUCUAUUUGCUUUCUUUUCUUUAUGUAAUUGGCAAUAUAAGGAUUUUCAAUGCAAUUCACCGCACAAUACAUAUGAAUUUCCUCUAGAUCAAUAUCAAGGAAUUUCUUAAGGUUAAAUUCUGGAAUAUGCUUAGUUGCACGUUUCAAUUCUUCAUAAACCAAAAGAAAACUAAGUUCAUUAUGAUGUGCAAGGGAAAUCAAGUCAUCACAUUUUUGGACACGAUUCGAUCAUGAAACAAUUUGCAUCGGAGAUUUAAAUGACCAUAUUCAUUGCAAAGUUCACAAGUACGGUAGAGAUAUUUUAAAAUUUCAGCACUCUUAUCUAGCCUUUCUUGCAACCAUUUAGUUUCUAAAUGCUUAUGCCUAUUGCAAUAUCUAUCUUCCCUAUUUGGUGUGUCCUUGCAAACCCAAUGCACUCCACAAAAAUUGACAUGCUUAUAGGAAACAUUUUCAUCAUAACUAGUGCAAUAAUCAUUAGUACUAUGGAUAUUCAAAGAGUUCAUACUAACAACAUUGCAAUCAUGCUCAUCAUUCAAAGAUUUAGUGCCAAACAUUUUGUAGACUUCUUCUUCUAGCACUUGAGCACACUUUUCCUUUCCAUCAUUCUCACGAAAGAUAUUAAAGAGAUGAAGCGUAUGAGACAAACUUAACUCCAUUUUUUUGUAGUUUUCUUUUAUAGACUAAACUAGUGAUAAAACAAGAAACAAAAAGAUUCGAUUGCAAGAUCUAAAGAUAUACCUCCAAGCACUCACCUCCACGGAAACGGCGCCAGAAAAGAGCUUAGUUGACGGGGUGUUAGUGCCGCUUACCUAGCCUCCCCGGCAACAGCGCCAGAAAAGAGCUUGAUGUCUACAACACAACCUUCUUCUUGUAGACGUUGUUGGGCCUCCAAGUGCAGAGGUUUGUAGGACAGUAGCAAAUUUCCCUCAAGUGGAUGACCUAAGGUUUAUCAAUCCGUGGGAGGCAUAGGAUGAAGAUGGUCUCUCUCAAACAACCCUGCAACCAAAUAACAAAGAGUCUCUUGUGUCCCCAACACACCCAAUACAAUGGCGAAUUGUAUAGGUGCACUAGUUCGGCAAAGAGAUGGUGAUACAAGUGCAAUAUGGAUGGUAGAUAUAGGUUUUUGUAAUCUGAAAUUAUAAAAACAGCAAGGUAACUAAUGAUAAAAGUGAGCGUAAACGGUAUUGCAAUGCUAGGAAACAAAGCCUAGGGUUCAUACUUUCACCAGUGCAAGUUCUCUCAACAAUAAUAACAUAAUUGGAUCAUAUAACUAUCCCUCAACAUGCAACAAAGAGUCACUCCAAAGUCACUAACAGCGGAGAACAAACAAAGUGAUUAUUGUAGGGUACCAAACCACCUCAAAGUUAUCCUUUCUGACCGAUCUAUUCAAGAGUCUGUAGUAAAAUAACACGAAGCUAUUCUUUCCGUUCGAUCUAUCAUAGAGUUCAUACUAGAAUAACACCUUAAGACACAAAUCAACCAAAACCCUAAUGCCACCUAGAUACUCCAAUGUCACCUCAGGUAUUCGUGGGCAUGAUUAUACGAUAUGCAUCACACAAUCUCAGACUCAUCUAUUCAACCAACACAAAGUACUUCAAAGAGUGCCCCAAAGUUUCUACUGGAGAGUCAAGACGAAAACGUGUGCCAACCCCUAUGCAUAAGUUCAUUGAACCCGCAAGUUGAUCGCCAAAACAUACAUCAAGUAGAUCACAUGAAUAUCCCAUUGUCACCACAGAUAAUCACGAAAAGACAUACAUCAAGUGUUCUCAAAAUCCUUAAAGACUCAAUCCGAUAAGAUAACUUCAAAGAGAAAACUCAAUCCAUUACAAGAGAGUAGAGGGGGAGAAACAUCAUAAGAUCCAACUAUAAUAGCAAAGAUCGCGAUACAUCAAGAUCGUAUCACCUCAAGAACAUGAGAGAGAGAGAGAGAGAGAGAUCAAACACAUAGCUACUGGUACAUACCCUCAGCCCCGAGGGUGAACUACUCCCUCCUCAUCAUGGAUAGCGCCGGGAUGAUGAAGAUGGCCACCGGUGAUGGAUUCCCCCUCCGGAAGGUACCGGAACAGGGUCCCUAUUGGUUUUUGGUGGCUACAGAGGCUUGCGGCGAUGAAACUCCUGAUCUAUUGUGCUCCCCGAUGUUUUUAGGGUAUAUGGACAUAUAUAGGCGAAAGAAGUCGGUCAGGGGAGCCACGAGUGGCCCAUGAGUGUGGGGGGCGCGCCUCCCUGCCUCGUGGCUUCCUCAUUGCUUCCCUUACAUACACUCCAAGUCUCCUGGAUUGCUUCCGUUCCAAAAAUAACUCUGCCGAAGGUUUCAUUCCGUUUGGACUUCGUGUGAUAUUCCUUUUCUUUGGAACACUGAAAUAGGCAAAAAACAGCAAUAUGGGCUGGGCCUCCGGUUAGUAGGUUAGUCCCAAAAAUAAUAUAAAAGUGUAAAGUAAAGCCCAUAAGCAUCCAAAACAGGUAAUAUAAUAGCAUGGAACAAUCAAAAAUUAUAGAUAUGUUGGAGAUGUAUCAAGCAUCCCCAAGCUUAAUUCCUGCUCGUUCUCGAGUAGGUAAAUGAUAAAAACAGUAUUUUUGAUGUGGAAUGCUACCUAGCAUAAUUCUCAAUGUAAUUUUCUUUAUUGUGGCAUGAAUGUUCAGAUCCAAAUGAUUCAAGAUAAAACUUAAAUAUUGACAUAAGAGUAAUAAUACUUCAAGCAUACUAACAAAGCAAUCAUGUCUUCUCAAAAUAACUUGGGUAAAGAAAGCUUAUCCCUACAAUAUCAUAUAGUUUGGUUAUUCUCUAUCUUCAUCACACAAAGUAUUUAAUCAUGCACAAUCCCGAUGACAAGCCAAGCAAUUGUUUCAUACUUUAGUACUCUCAAACUUUUUCAACUUUCACGCAAUACAUGAGCGUGAGCCAUGGACAUAGCACUAUAUGUGGAAUAGAAUGGUGGUUGUGGAGAAGACAAAAAGGAGAAGAUAGUCUCACAUCAACUAGGCGUAUAAACAGGCUAUGGAGAUGCCCAUUAAUAGAUAUUGAUGUGAGUGAGUAGGGAUUGCCAUGCAACGGAUGCACUAGAGCUAUAAGUGUAUGAAAGCUCAACAAAAGAAACUGAGUGGGUGUGCAUCCAACUUGAUUGCUCAUGAAGACCUAGGGCAUUUUGAGGAAGCCAUCAUUGGAAUAUACAAGCUAAGUUCUAUAAUGUAAAAUUCCCACUAGUAUAUGAAAGUGACAACAUAGGAGACUCUCUAUCAUGAAGAUCAUGGUGCUACUUUGAAGCACAAGUGUGGAAAGAGGAUAGUAGCAUUGUCCCUUCUCUCUUUUUCUCUCAUUUUUUUGGGCCUUCCCUUUUUUAUGUCCUUUCUCUUUUUUAUGGCCUUUCUCUCUUUUUUAUGGCCUUUCUUUCUUUUUUAAGUCCGAAGUCUCAUCCCGAAUUGUGGGGGAAUCAUAGUCUCCAUCAUCCUUUCCUCACUUGGGACAAUGCUCUAAUAAUGAAGAUCAUCACACUUUUAUUUACUUACAACUCGAUACUUAGAACAAAAUAUGACUCUAUGUGGAUGCCUCCGGCGGUGUACCGGGAUAUGCAAUGAAUCAGGAGUGACAUGUAUGAAAAAUUAUGCAUGGUGGCUUUGAAACAAAUAUGAUGUCAACUACAUGAUCAUGCAAAAGCAAUAUGACAAUGAUGGAGCGUGUCAUAAUAAACAGAACGGUGGAAAGUUGCAUGGCAAUAUAUCUCAGAAUAGCUAUGGAAAUGCCAUAAUAGGUAGGUAUGGUGGCUGUUUUGAGGAAGGUAUAUGGUGGGUGUAUAGUACCGGCGAAAGUUGAGUGGCACAAGAGAGGCUAGCAAUGGUGGAAGGGUGAGAGUGCGUAUAAUCCAUGGACUCAACAUUAGUCAUAAAGAACUCAUAUACUUAUUGCAAAAAUCUACAACUCAUUGAAACAAAGUACUACGCGCAUGCUCUUAGGGGGAUAGAUUGGUAGGAAAAGACCAUCGCUCGUCCCCGACCGCCACUCAUAAGGAAGACAAUCAAUAAAUAAAUUAUGCUCCAACUUCAUCACAAAGCGGUUCACCAUACGUGCAUGCUACGGGAAUCACAAACUUCAACACAAGUAUUCCUCAAACUCAUAAUUACUCCACUAGAAUGACUCUAAUAUCACCUUCCUCAUAUCUCAAAACAAUAAUCAAGCAUCAAAUUGAUCAUAGCAUCCAAUUCACUUCUAUGAUAGUUUUUAUUACACCCAACUUGGAUGCCCAUCAUUCUAGGACCAAUUUUUAUAACCAUAGAAAAUACCAUGAUGUUCUAAAAGACUCUCAAAAUAAUGUAGGUGAAGCAUGAGAGAUCAACAACUUCUACAAACAUAAACCAUCGUCGUGCUCUAAAAGAUAUAAGUGAAGUACUGGAGCAAAUGACAAACUACUCCGAAAGACAUAAGUGAAGAUCAAUGAGUAGUCGAAUAAUUAUGCAACUAUGUGAAGACUCUCUAACAUUUAAGAAUUUCAGAUCUUGGUAUUUUAUUCAAACAGAAAGCACAACAAAACAAAAGAAAAUGACGCUCCAAGCAAAACACAUAUCAUGUGUGAAUAAAAAUAUAGCUCCAAGUAAAGUUACCGAUGAACGAAGACGAAAGAGGGGAUGCCUUCCGGGGCAUCCCCAAGCUUAGGCUCUUGGUUGUCCUUGAAUAUUACCUUGGUGGGCAUCGCCAGGCUUAGGCUCUUGCCACUCCUUAUUCCAUAGUCCAUCGAAUCUUUGCCCAAAACUUGAAAACUUCACGACACAAAACUCAACAGAACACUCGUAAGCUUCGUUAGUAUAAGAAAAUAAAACCACCACUUAGGUACUGUUGUGAACUAAUUCUAAAUUCAUAUUGGUGUAAUAUCUACUGUAUUCCAACUUCUCUAUGGUUCAUACCCUCCGAUACUACUCAUAGAUUCAUGAAAAUAAGCAAACAACACAUAGAAAACAGAAUCUGUCAAAAACAGAACAGUCUGUAGUAAUCUGUAUCAUUCGAAUACUUCUGUAGCUCAAUUUCUACCAAUUAGGAAAGCCUGAGAAAUUUGUGUACCAAUCCAGGGGAAAAAUAAUCGGAUCAGAAGCACGUUUCUGUCAAUUAUCAAAACUAAUUUACUGGGUGCAAAAGUUUAUGAUUUUCAGCAGGAUCAACACAACUAUCACCCUAAGCUAUCCUAAAGGUCUUACUUGGCACUUUAUUGAAACAAAAGCUAUAAAACAUGAUUACUACAGUAGCAUAAUCAUGUGAACACACGAAAACAGUAAAGGUAAAUAUGGGGUUGUCUCCCAACAAACGCUUUUCUUUAAUGCCUUUCUAGCUAGGCAUGAUGGUGGCUAUGAUGCUCACAUAAGAGAUAAGAAUUGAAACAUAAUGGGAGCAUCAAGAAGCAUAUGACUAGCACAUUUAAGUCUAACCCACUUCAUAUGCAUAGGGAUUUUGUGAGCAAACAACUUAUGGGAACAAUAAUCAACUAGCAUUGGAAGGCAAAACAAGCAUAGCUUCAAGAUUUUCAACACAUAGAUGGGAAACUUGACAUUAUUGCAAUUCCUACAAGCAUAUGUUCCUCCCUCAUAAUAAUUUUCAGUAGCGUCAUGAAUAAAUUCAACAAUAUAACCAGCACCUAAAGCAUUUUUUUCAUGAUAUACUUGCAUAGAAAUUUUACUACUCUCCACAUAAGCAAAAUUCUUCUCAUUCGGAAUAGUGGGAGUAUCAUACGAGACUCGAAUACUAUAAAUUGUUUACACAUUAAAAGAGUAAUGUUCAAAAAUGGGUAAUCAUAAUCAUGACAAGUUUUAUAAAUAUAAUCAUCACUACUUUUUAUAGCAUAAGUUUCAUCACAAUAAUCAUCAUAAGUAGCAACUUUGUUCUCAUCAUAAUCGAUUGAAACAUCUUCCAAGAUAGUGGAAUCAUCACUAAGUAAAGUCAUGACCUCUCCAAAUACACUUUCAUAGAUAUUAUAAGAUUCAACAUCCUCCAAAAUAGUGGGAUCAUUACUUCCUAAAGUUGACACUCUUCCAAACCCACUUUCAUCAAUAUAAUCAUCAUAAGUAGGAGGCAUGCUAUCAUCAUAAGAAAUUUGCAUAUCAAAACUUGGGAGGCUAAAAAUAUCAGCUUCAUUAAACAUAGCAUCCCCAAGCUUGGGACAAACAUCAAUUGCAGCAAAUAUAUUCUCAAAUAUGUCAUUCUCAUCAAACAUAGCUUCCCCAAGCUUGGGCCUUUUCAUAUCAUAAGCAUAAUCACUCUCAUCAUUAAUAGUUGGAUAGCACCAAUAGUAUAGCAAUUAUAAUCAUCACAAUGAGUAGUAGGAGGAACAUCAUUUGGGAGGGAUACCUUUCUACCUUUGCUUCUCCGUCUUUUCUUUUUCUUCUUCACAUCAUGUGUGGGUUUAUCCCUCCUUUUUAAGCUCCUUAUUGAUGAGAUUGGUUGAAUAGAAAGCUCCUCCUCAUUACCUAAUUCAUCAUAAGAAAUAAUGGGAGGAUAUUGGGAAGUCUCUUCCCUUUCAUUAGUAUUCUCAUCAUCUUCUAUUUGCUUUCUUUUCUUUAUGUAAUUGGCAAUAUAAGGACUUUCAAUGCAAUUCACUGCACAAUACAUAUAAAUUCCCUCUAGAUCAAUAUCAAGGAAUUUCUUAAGGUUAAAUUCUGGAAUAUGCUUAGUUGCACGUUUCAAUUCUUCAUAACCCAAAAGCAAACUAAGUUCGUUAUGAUGUGCAAGGGAAAUCAAGUCAUUACAAUUUUUGGACACGAUUCGAUCAUGGAACAAUUUGCAUUGGAGAUUUAAAUGACCAUGUUCAUUGCAAAGUUCACAAGUACGGUAGAGAUAUUAUAAAAUUUUAGCACUCUUAUCUAGCCUUUCUUGCAACCAUUUAGUUUCUGAUUGCUUAUGCCUCUUGUAAUAUCUAUCUUCCCUAUUUGGUGUGUACUUUCAAACCCAAUGCACUCCACAAAAAUUGACAUGCUUAUAGGAGACAUUUUCAUCAUAACUAGUGCAAUCAUCAUUAGUACUAUGGAUAUUCAAAGAGUUCAUACUAACAACAUUGCAAUCAUGCUCAUCAUUCAAAUAUUUAGUGCCAAACAUUUUAUAGACUUCUUCUUCUAGCACUUGAGCACACUUUUCCUUUCCAUAAUUUUCACGAAAGAUAUUAAAAAGAUGAAGCGUAUGAGACAAAAUUAACUCCAUUUUUCUGUAGUUUUCUUUUAUAGACUAAACUAGUGAUAAAACAAGAAACAAAAAGAUUCGAUUACAAGAUCUAAAGACAUACCUUCAAGCACUCACCUCCCCGGCAACGGCGCCAGAAAAGAGCUUAGUUGACGGGGUGUUUGUGCCACUUACCUAGCCUCCCCGGCAACGGCGCCAGAAAAGAGCUUGAUGUCUACUACACAACCUUCUUCUUGUAGACGUUGUUGGGCCUCCAAGUAUAGAGGUUUGUAGGACAGUAGCAAAUUUCCCUCAAGUGGAUGACCUAAGGUUUAUCAAUCCAUGGGAGGCGUAGGAUGAAGAUGGUCUCUCUCAAACAACCCUGCAACCAAAUAACAAAGAGUCUCUUGUGUCCCCAACAUACCCAAUACAAUGGCAAAUUGUAUAGGUGCACUAGUUCGGCGAAGAGAUGGUGAUACAAGUGCAAUAUGGAUGGUAGAUACAGGUUUUUGUAAUCUAAAGUUAUAAAAACAGCAAGGUAACUAAUGAUAAAAGUGACCGUAAACGGUAUUGCAAUGCUAGGAAACAAAGCCUAGGGUUCAUACUUUCACUAGUGCAAGUUCUCUCAACAAUAAUAACAUAAUUGGAUCAUAUAACUAUCCCUCAACAUGCAACAAAGAGUCACUCCAAAGUCACUAAUAGCGGAGAACAAACGAAGAGAUUAUUGUAGGGUACGAAACCACCUCAAAGUUAUCCUUUUUGAUCGAUCUAUUCAAGAGUCCGUAGUAAAAUAACCCGAAGCUAUUCUUUCCGUUUGAUCUAUCAUAGAGUUCGUACUAGAAUAACACCUUAAGACACAAAUCAACCAAAACCCUAAUGCCACCUAGAUACUCCAAUAUCACCUCAAGUAUCCGUGGGCAUGAUUAUACGAUAUGCAUCACACAAUCUCAGAUUCAUCUAUUCAACCAACACAAAGUACUUCAAAGAGUGCCCCAAAGUUUCUACCGGAGAGUCAAGACGAAAACGUGUGCCAACCCCUAUGCAUAAGUUCAUUGAACCUGCAAGUUGAUCACCAAAACAUACAUCAAGUAGAUCACGUGAAUAUCCCAUUGUCACCACAGGUAAGCACGACAAGACAUACAUCAAGUGUUCUCAAAUCCUUAAAGACUCAAUCCGAUAAGAUAACUUCAAAGGGAAAACUCAAUCCAUUACAAGAGAGUAGAGGGGGAGAAACAUCAUAAGAUCCAACUAUAAUAGCAAAGCUCGCGAUACAUCAAGACCGUAUCACCUCAAGAACACGAGAGAGAGAGAGAGAGAGAUCAAACACAUAGCUACUGGUACAUACCCUCAGCCCCGAGGGUGAACUACUCCCUCCUCGUCAUGGAUAGCGCCGGGAUGAUGAGGAUGGCCACCGGUGAUGGAUUCCCCCUCCGGCAGGGUGCCGGAACAGGGUCCCGAUUGGUUUUUGCGGCGGCGGAACUCCCGAUCUAUUGUGCUCCCCGAUGUUUUUAGGGUAUAUGGACAUUUAUAGGCGAAAGAAGUCAGUCAGGGGAGCCACGGGGGUGGGGGUGCGCCUAGGGGGGUAGGGCGCGCCUCCCUACCUCGUGGCUUCCUUGUUGCUUCCCUUACGUACACUCCAAGUCUCCUGGAUUGCUUCCUUUCCAAAAAAACUCUCCCGAAGGUUUCAUUCCAUUUGGACUCCGUUUGAUAUUCCUUUUCUUCGAAACACUGAAAUAGGCAAAAAAAAAUAGCAAUAUGGGCUGGGCCUCCGGUUAGUAGGUUAGUCCCAAAAAUGAUAUAAAAGUGUAAAGUAAAGCCCAUAAGCAUCCAAAACAGGUAAUAUAAUAGCAUGGAACAAUAAAAAAAUUAUAGAAACAUUGGAGAUGUAUCACCCUCCCGCACAGGCGCUAGGUGAAAGAGAACAACGCAGCCGGCAGUGGAUUGCCUCCCUCGCAGAAGGCGAUAGAGUGAACGCUGCACCUCCUCCCCUUCCUGGUGCGACAGGAUCCGGACGCCUCCUUCACCAGCUCUGAGGGGGGAGAGAGAGACAGAGGCCAAUGCAGUCUUGUUUAGAUCUGGUGAAGAGGGUGACUAGGUGAGAGACUGUGAAUAUAGCAAACCCUAGCAAAGGAACGCUGAGCCUCCAACGUGUUUAUAUAUAUGUAGUGCGGCGAGAGUGUGGAGAGUGCAAACUCUAGCGAACAAGCGCUGAGGCUCCAGCUUAUAUAGUACUACAUAUAUACUGUAGUAGAGACUGAGCUCUCGUGCCUUAACUGCACCUGCUUUUGGCUGUAUGACAGGUGGGCCAGCCACAUUUUGGGCCCACCUGUCAUAAACCCAAAGGCAGGUGCACUAAGUCAAUGAAGCUACGUCCGUAUAGAACUCGUGUAUACUACUAAUAUAUAGUGGUGUGGUUUUCUUAUUCUCUCCAUAACAAUCAUUUUAAAUUGUGUAAGUAUGAAACGAAACUCUUAAUUUAAUGUACUAGUGAAGAAAACUACUACUUCCGAUGAACUAACGAUCCACGCGUCCUGGUCGCACUUCCUGUCUGGGGCGUGCGGUACACUACCCUCUCUUAAGUGAACAACCACACAUGCGCCAAAUUAUUGGAAACGUGUGAGAGUGUGUACAAAUAAAGAAUUUUAAUUUCAAUUAUAAGAAAGGUUUGAGAGUAUGUACAGUUUGCCCUCUCUCAAUAAUUAUGGUUUGUUGUGUUCGGCCUAAACUUGGUCAAACUUUACAAAGUUUGACUCCAGUCAAAUCUAAUAUGCGGAGUAACUAAAAAUGGAGGGCUACUAAGUCCAUCCGGGUUUUUAGUCCACACCAUUUUUUAAUCAAAGUUAAUAGCUGGACAAAUAAAAUUACAGGGGAGAUGAAGACAAAGUUGUGAGAAGGCUUAGAAAUCAAUACAAAACUUAUGCUCUUAGUACCAACGUCAAUCCUUCUUCGAGGAAACAUUUGGUUCAUAACCAAUUGUGUGAUAAAAUUGCACCAACGUGAAAGACGACUGCGUCUCCAACAUAACCAAGGUGAACUGAUGAAGGAUAUCAUCUUUGUGGGUAACAAGCAAAGAGCACUAAUGGAAGACAGCCUUUUUUCAUGGAAAAUCGAUCAGCUUCACUAGCCGACGCAACCAUGAGCAUCGAUAGGUCAUCAUAGUGAUGCAUCAUCCAUUUGGCAUCAAGUUUGGCUGAGGAACCUAUGAAGUUCGACAAAUCGUCACUGUGGUCUGUUUCUUCUCAUUAAUCAAGCUCGAGGAAGGAAGAACCAUGUGGCAGAGGACAGUGAGGCGGAACAACAAUAAUGGCCAUCCAAUUUUGUGCAGUUCCACUAAAAUUGAGGAAGACAUGCCGGGGUAUGGAGAUACGCAUCGCUGUUUGCAAAAAUAUAAAAAAGGGAUAUAAUGUUGUUACUUUGUUUUGGCAGUGGUACAAGAUUAACAAUGACAUCUCAAUUGUCAAUAAGAAUUAAUGAAAAGUACACCAACAAACAGAAGCAUCAUGAUUAUCUUGAGGGAACUAAACCAGGAUACCCGAGAAAAAAAGCAUUUCUUCAUUUAACCAGUGAUAGUAUUAGAUUAGAAGCAGCAAUAGGAGCAUAUGGACAAUGACCACACAACCAAUAGCAAUAGGAGCAUAUGGUUAGAUCAUGGGGGUGCUACAAUUUUCUCUUCAUGUAGAAGCUUGUGUUAUCGCGCGAGCGCACUGGAAACAUAGUUGUUGGCCAUCAAAGAGGGUUUGUCGCUCGCAUUGCAAUGGAGUAAUCUUUUUUUGACCCACACACCAUAGAAAAAUCGUUCUACGGUAAAUUAUAUUAAUAUAAUAAAGUACAUGGGGAGUCUAAGCUCCAAAUAUCCAUAUCGAGACCGACUGCCUUGAAGCUACAAAUAUGGUGAGGAAUGAAGAUAUUGAUAAAUCUCGGUUUGGUUUUUUGGUGCGUGAGAUUAGAUAAUCGCUCAUGGCACUCUAAAAUACUUGUAUUGCUCAUGUUCAACGAAACAACAACAUUGUUAGUUAUACUUUAGCUCAUUAUGGUAGGACUAGUGGCCGUAUCGCUGUUUGGCUAGGUUCAGGCCCUGAUGGCAUUGUCGAACUUUGCAAAUCUGAGUGUAGCCUGGCUAUGUGAGUAAUAAAAGUUUGUUCCCACAAAAAAAGACAUAGACAUGCAUAUCCGUGUUUACGUAAAAUUCCAUCUCCAUCUCCAUCUCCAAUCAUAUUUGUCUAACUGGCACAUUAUUUACGUUGUUAAUUAUAUAUGCAACAAUAUUAACGUACAUCAUCUUUUGUUUGCGGGUGUCCGGACCGCUGCUACGCCCUCUCCUGACCAACCCGAACCCUCUUCAUCACCCGCGCGUGCUUCCCUCCUGGAACGGUCAGUGCCGCAUUCAUGCUCGGCCAGAGCAGACGCGACCUCUCACUAGCGCCGGCAUUGAAGCGGCGCGUCGGCCAAGAGAGCGUCGCCCGCAUCGCUUCCCGGUGCACGCGCCGCGUUCAAAGGUCGCAAUAGCCGGCCACAACAUGCAUGUAAAAAGUUCUUGGGAGUCCGUGCUACAGCUAGCUGUCCUCCCCCAACUCGUCAAUCUCUUCCAGUAGUGCUAGUACUCCAUGGCGUGAUCCAUCGACAAGCAGGCGAGAAAGUUAUCGUAUACUCGGUUUGUGGUGAGUGGCAUGCCAAGUGACUGUGUGGGGUCAAGCCGUGGAGGAGAGUGAGGCACGAACGCGACAGACGUGAUUUAAAUGUUGGUUUUGCUCGAUGGCGCGAUCCAACGAAACGAAAUGUUGAUUUCCCUCUGUUUCCAUUUUUUCUCCAGAAAAACGGAAACUUUCCACUCCAUUUUCAUUCCUACUCCAAGGUUGCCCCAUUACAACAUUCCGUUAAAUACAAAGGAAAACUAACACGCAUGCUGAUGCAUCUCAAUAAUUCACAGAUCAUAGCCAAUAUUUACUUCACAACUAAAGACAAAAGUUGUGAGAGCGUGUACAAAAGAAAAACUACCGAUGGGGUCACUACGACUUAAAUCCUAAACCCUAAACAGGAUUUAAUUUCCUAGCUAUGUAGAACCUGUCAAAGGAAAGACGGCUGGUACCCUCGGAUCAUACGGUGCUUUUGUGCAGUUCCACUAAAAUCGAGAUCAGCAUCCCUGAUGGCAAAGAUAUUGAAGAAGUGUGAUUAGAAUAAUAGUAUUGGCAAUAGUUCAUGAGACAUAAACUCAUCACAAAUAGAAGCCGGUAGAAGUAGAGAAAGAUCGACAUGGAGAUGGAGCUACAUGGGGAGCUGCGGCAGUGAAUCAAGCCGGCUCCAAAAGGAAGAUGUACUACCUGGGACGACGGGCUGGAGCUAGAAGGGCGGUUGGGACACGACAUCAGCCCAUACCGCGGGGACCCCCGAUUGGGACGCACCGACUAUAGGUCUUCUCCCUCGCCGAUGUCGACCGCGUCUACGCAGAACAUUGUUCCCUUCCCCCAACGGCGGGAUCAGGCCGGAUAUGUGACCAGCAGUGUGGCCACCAUCGUUCUAUGCUUGUGAAGAGAGCGAUGCUACGUCUUGAGCUUGCGUUGGUUUUCCUUGAAGAGGAGAGGGUGAUGCAGCAAGUGUAGCGUAAGUAUUUCCCUCAGUUUUGAGAACCAAGGUAUCAAUCCAGUAGGAGGCUCCUCAAAAGUCCCACGCACCUACACAAACAAACUAAGAACUCGCAACCAACGCAAUAAAGGGGUUGUCAAUCCCUUCAUGGCCACUUGCGAAAGUGAGAUCUAAUAAAGAUAGUAUGAUAAGAUAAAUAUAUUUUUGGUAUUUUAUAAUAUAGAUGCAAAUAAAGGUAGAUUAAAAGCAAAUAUGAUAAGAGAUAGACCCGGGGGCCAUAGGUUUCACUAGAGGCUUCUCUCAAGAUAGCAUAAGUAUUACGGUGGGUGAACAAAUUACUGUCGAGCAAUUGAUAGAAAAGCGCAUAGUUAUGAGAUUAUCUAGACAUGAUCAUGUAUAUAGGCAUCACGUCCAUAACAAGUAGACCGACUCCUGCCUGCAUCUACUACUCUUACUCCACACAUCGACCGACUCCUGCCUGCAUCUAGAGUAUUAAGUUCAUAAGAACAGAGUAACGCAUUAAGCAAGAUGACAUGAUGUAGAGGGAUAAACUCAUGCAAUAUGAUGUAAACCCCAUCUUGUUAUCCUCGAUGGCAACAAUACAAUACGUGCCUUGCAACCCUUUUUGUCACUGGAUAAGGACACCGCAAGAUUGAACCCAAAGCUAAGCACUUCUCCCAUGGCAAGAAAGACCAAUCUAGUAGGCCAAACCAAACUGAUAAUUCAAAGAGACUUGCAAAGAUAACUCAAUCAUACAUAAAAGAAUUCAGAGAAGAUUCAAAUAUUAUUCAUAGGUAAACUUGAUCAUAAACCCACAAUUCAUCGGAUCUCGACAAACACACCGCAAAAAGAGUUUACAUCGAAUAGAUCUCCACAAAAGAGGGGGAGAACAUUGUAUUGAGAUCCAAAAAGAGAUAAGAAGCCAUCUAGCUAAUAACUAUAGACCCGUAGGUCUGUGGUAAACUACUCACAACUCAUCGGAGGGGCAAGGAUGUUGAUGUAGAAGCCCUCCGUGGUCGAUUCCCCCUCCGGCAGAGUGCCGACGAAGGCUCCAAGAUGAGAUCUCGCGGAUACAGAAGGUUACGGCGGUGGAAAUUGUGUUUCGUGGUGCCCUUGGAUGUUUUCGGGGUACGUGGGUAUAUAUAGGAGGAAGAAGUACGUCGGUGGCCGCCCGAGGGGCCCACGAGACAAGGGGGUGCGCCCUACAGGGGGGCGCGGCCACCUAUCUCGUGGGUCCCUCGGGAGCUUCUUGACUUGCACUCCAAGCUCUCCGGAUCACGUUCAUUCCAAAAAUCACGCUCCCGAAGGAUUCAUUCCGUUUGGACUCCGUUUGAUAUUCCUUUUCUUCGAAAUACUGAAAUAGGCAGAAAACAGCAAUAUGGGCUGGGCCUCUGGUUAGUAUAGGUUAGUCCCAAAAAUGAUAUAAAUGUGUAAAAUAAAGCCCAUAAACAUCCAAAAGGGGUAUUAUAAUAGCAUGGAACAAUCAAAAAAUGUAGAUACGUUGGAGAUGUAUCAAGCAUCCCCAAGCUUAAUUCCUGCUCGUCCUCGAGUAGGUAAAUUAUAAAAAGAGAAUUUUUGAUGUGGAAUGCUACCUAGCAUAAUUCGUAAUGUAAUUUUUUUUAUUGUGGCAUGAAUGUUCAGAUCCAAAUGAUUCAAAAUAAAAGUUCAUAUUGAUAAAAGAAAUAGUAACACUUCAAGCAUACUAAUCAAAGUAAUCAUGCCUUCUCAAAAUAGCAUGGCAAAAGAAAGUUCAUCCCUACAAAAUCAUAUAGUUAGGCUAUGCUUCAUUUUAGUCACACAAAGAUGUUCCCAACUUCUAUACCCCCGAUGACAAGCCAAGCAAUUGUUUCAUACUUAAAUAAUCUCAAACUUUUUCAACCUUCACGCAAUACAUGAGCAUGAGCCAUGGAUAUAGCACUAUGGGUGGAAUAGAAUAUGAUGAUGGGGAUUGUGUGGAGAAGACAAAAAAGGAGAAAGUCUCACAUUGACGAGGAUAAUCAACGGGCUAUGGAGAUGCCCAUCGAUUGAUGUCAACAUGAGGAGUAGGGAUUGCCAUGCAACGGAUGCACUAGAGCUAUAAAUGAAUGCUCAACAAAAAGAAACUAGUGGGUGUUCAUCCAACUUGCUUGCUCACGAAGACCUAGGGCAUUUGAGGAAGCCCGUCGUAGGAAUAUACAAGCCAAGUUCUAUAAUGAGAAAUUCCCACUAGUAUGAAAAAGACAACAUAUGAGACUCACUAUAUGAAAAACAUGGUGCUACUUUGAAGCACAAUAUAUGAGACUCACUACAUGAAGAACAAGGUGCUACUUUGAAGCACAAGUGUGGAAAAAGAGAUAGUACCAUUGCCCUUUUUUAUUUAUUUAGUCUUUUUUUCUUUUUUUUCUUUUUUUUCUUUUUUGGGCCUUUAUUUUUUUCUUUUCUUUUGGCCAUUUUUUCUUUGGGCAAUGUUCUAAUAACGAUGAUCAUCACACUUCUAUUGAUUACAACAUAAGAAUUACAACUCGAAACUAGAACAAGAUAUGACUCUAUAUGAAUGCCUUCGGCGGUGUACCGGGAUGGUGCAAUGAAUCAAGAGUGACAUGUAUGAAAAAUAAUGCUUGGUGGCUUUGCCACAAAUACGAUGUCAACUACAUGAUCAUGCAAUGGCAAUAUGACAAAAGUAAUGUAUGUCAUGAUGAUGAUGAACGGAACGGUGAAAAGUUGCAUGUCAAUAUAUAUCGGAAUGGCUAUGGAAAUGCCAUAAUAGGUAGGUAUGGUGGCUGUUUUGAGGAAGAUAUAAGGAGGUUUGGAUGCACCGGCGAAGUUUGCACCAACUCUCAAGGUGAGAAAGGGCAAUGCACGGUACCGAAGAGGCUAGCAAAGGUGGAAAGGUAAAAGUGCGUAUAAUCCAUGGACUCUACAUUAGUCAAAAGAACUCAUAUACUUAUUGCAAAAAUUUAGCAGUCAUCAAAAACCAAGUACUACGCGCAUGCUCCUAGGGGGAUAGAUUGGUAGGAAAAGACCAUCGCACGUCCCCGACCGCCACUCAUAAGGAUGCACAAGCCAAGUACACUUCAUGUUUCAAAUUUGUUACACAACUUUAACCAUACAUGCAUGCUACUGGACUUGCUAACUUCAACACAAGCAUUCUUUAAAUUCAUAAUCACCCAACUAGCAUGACUUUAAUAUCACUACCUCCAUAUCUCAAAACAAUUAUCAAGUAUCAAAUUGAUCAUAGCAUCCAAUUCACUUCCUAUGAUAGUUUUUAUUAUACCCAACUUGGAUGCCUACCAUUCUAGGACCAACUUUAUGACCAUAGCAAAUACCAUGCUGUUCUAAAAGACUCUCAAAAUAAUAUAAGUGAAGCAUGAGAGACUAGAAAUUUCUACAAAAUUAAGACACCACCGUGCUCUAAAAGAUAUAAGUGAAGCACUAGAGCAAAAACUAUCAAGCUCAAAAAGAUAUAAGUGAAGCACAUAGAGUAUUCUAGCAAAUUCUAAUCAAAUAGGCUUCUCCCAAAAGGUGUGUACAGCAAGUAUGAUUGUGGUAAACUAAAAAGCAAAGACUAAUAUAAUACACGACGCUCCAAGCAGAACACAUAUCAUGUGGCGAAUAAAAAUAUAGCCCCAAGUAAAGUUACCAAUCAACGAAGACGAAAGAUGGGAUGCCUUCCCGGGGCAUCCCCAAGCUUAGGCUUUUGGCUGUCCUUGAAUAUCUUGGGGUGCCAUGGGCAUCCCCAAGCUUAGGCUCUUGCCACCCUUUAUUCCAUAGUCCAUAAAAGCUUUACCCAAAACUUGAAAACUUCACAACACAAAACUCAACAGGAAAUCUUAUAAGCUCCGUUAGUGAAAGAAAACAAAACCACCACAUAAGGUACUGCAAUUAACUCAUUCUUUAUUUAAUUUGGUGUUAAACCUACUGUAUUCCAACUUCUUAUGGUUUAUAAACUAAUUUACUAGCCAUAGAUGCAUUGAAAUAAGCAAACAACACACGAAAAACAGAAUCUUUCAAAAACAGAACAGUCUAUAGAAAUCUGUAACUAACACAAACUUCUGGAACUCUAAAAAUCCUAACAAAAUAGGAAGUCCUGGACAAUUUGUUUAUUUGAACAGCAGCAGAAAGAAUCAAGGCAAAAGCAUGUUUCUGUGUUUUAACAAAAUUAUAUUCGUGCGUGCGAAGUUUCUGUUUUUCAGCAGAAUCAAAUCAACUAUCAUCGUAGAUUAUCCUAUAGGUUCUACUUGGCACAAACACUAAUUAAAAGAUAAAAACACAUCUAAACAGAAGGUAGAUGCAAGAUUUAUUACUAAACAGGAGCAAAAACAAAAAACAUAAAGAAAAUUGGGUUGCCUCCCAACUAGCGCUAUCGUUUAACGCCCCUAGCUAGGCAUAAAAGCAAGGAUAGAUCUAACGAGUGUCAUCUUGUAUUUUCAGUUUUUUAGCGGAGUCAUGCUCGAAUCCGGGAGGUUCUUUCCACUUCCCUUCAUACUCGGAAAUUUUUAGAUCUAAAGAAUCCAACCGCUUAUUGCAAAGAGUAAUCAACAUAUUCAUACGGUGAAGAUUUCCGCUAACACUUUUAAGAGGCUCAAGAGACUUUUGUAAUAUUUUUGUUACUUCGCAAAUCUUUCCAAACACUUGGGUUUCUUCUUGGGUAGGAUGUGAUCCUCCUUUUUGAGAUAGUGUUCCCAAUAUUCCCUCUAUAAUUUCAUGCGCAAUACUGGGAUCAAUUUCAAUGAAAUUUCCCUUGGCAAUGCAAUCCAAGAGUUGUCUAUGCGUGAAAUUUAACCCAACAUAAAAAUUACGAAGAAGAAUUCUAAAGUUCACCUCUAGGGUGCACUUGCGAUAAGAUUCCAUCAUCCCAUACCAAGCAUGUUUUAAAUUUUCUCCUUGCCUUUGCUGGAAGUGAAGAACUUCAAACUCGGGAGACAUAGGAGCGGAUAAGGAACUAGACAUGAUGACAAGGUAAAUGAACUAACACACGGGCAAACAGAAAAACGGCAAGCGAAAAAGAGAGGAGGAGAUUGGGAAAGAGAGGGCGAAUAAAACGGCAAGGGUGAAGUGGGGGAGAGGAAAACGAGAGGUAAAUGGCAAAUAAUGUAAAAUGCGAGGGAGAUGGGUUUCUGAUGGGUACUUGGUAUGUCUUGACUUGAGCAAAGACCUCCCCGGCAACGGUGCCAGAAAUCCUUCUUGCUACGUCUUGAGCUUGCGUUGGUUUUCCUCGAAGAGGAGAGGGUGAUGCAGCAAGUGUAUCGUAAGUAUUUCCCUUAGUUUUGAGAACCAAGGUAUCAAUCCAGUAGGAGGCUUCUCAAAAGUCCCACGCACCUACACAAACAAACUGAGCACUCGCAACCAACGCAAUAAAGGGGUUGUCAAUCCCUUCACGGCCACUUGCGAAAGUGAGAUCUAAUAAAGAUAGUAUGAUAAGAUAUAUAUUUUUUUGGUAUUUUAUAAUAUAGAUGCAAAAAGUAAAGAUGCAAAUAAAGGUAGAUUAAAAGCAAAUAUGAUAAGAGAUAGACCCGGGGGCCAUAGGUUUCACUAGAGGCUUCUCUCAAGAUAGCAUAAGUAUUACGGUGGGUGAACAAAUUACUGUCGAGCAAUUGAUAGAAAAGCGCAUAGUUAUGAGAUUAUCUAGACAUGAUCAUGUAUAUAGGCAUCACGUCCAUAACAAGUAGACCGACUCCUGCCUGCAUCUACUACUAUUACUCCACACAUCGACCGACUCCUGCCUGCAUCUAGAGUAUUAAGUUCAUAAGAACAGAGUAACGCAUUAAGCAAGAUGACAUGAUGUAGAGGGAUAAACUCGUGAAAUAUGAUGUAAACCCCAUCUUAUUUUCCUCGAUGGCAACAAUACAGUACGUGCCUUGCGACCCUUUUUGUCACUGGGUAAGGACACCGCAAGAUUGAACCCAAAGCUAAGCACUUCUCCCAUGGCAAGAAAGACCAAUCUAGUAGGCCAAACCAAACUGAUAAUUCGAAGAGACUUGCAAAGAUAACUCAAUCAUACAUAAAAGAAUUCAGAGAAGAUUCAAAUAUUAUUCAUAGAUAAACUUGAUCAUAAACCCACAAUUCAUCGGAUCUCGACAAACACACCGCAAAAAGAGUUUACAUCGAAUAGAUCUCCACAAAAGAGGGGGAGAACAUUGUAUUGAGAUCCAAAAAGAGAGAAGAAGCCAUCUAGCUAAGAACUAUAGACUCGUAGGUCUGUGGUAAACUACUCACAACUCAUCGGAGGGGCAAGGAUGUUGAUGUAGAAGCCCUCCGUGGUCGAUUCCCCCUCCAGCAGAGUGUCGGCGAAGGCUCCAAGAUGAGAUCUCGCGGAUACAGAAGGUUACGGCGGUGGAAAUUGUGUUUCGUGGUGCCCUUGGAUGUUUUCGGGGUACGUAGGUAUAUAUAGGAGGAAGAAGUACGUCGGUGGCCGCCCGAGGGGCCCACGAGACAGGGGGCACGCCCUAUAGGGGGGGUGCGGCCCCCUAUCUCGUGGGGCCCUCGGGAGCUUCUUGACUUGCACUCCAAGCUCUCCGGAUCACGUUCGUUCCAAAAAUCACGCUCCCGAAGGUUUCAUUCCGUUUGGACUUCGUUUGAUAUUCCUUUUCUUCGAAAUACUGAAAUAGGCAAAAAAACAGCAAUAUGGGCUGGGCCUCCGGUUAGUAGGUUAGUCCCAUAAAUGAUAUAAAUGUGUAAAAUAAAGCCCAUAAACAUCCAAAAGGGGUAAUAUCAUAGCAUGGAACAAUCAAAAAUUAUAGAUACGUUGGAGACGUAUCAAGCAACCCAAGCAAGCAGGCUUGUAGCUUAGGCUCAUGCUAGUGUAUAUAUAGUGGUUUUCUUUUUCUCUCCAUAUCAACCAUUUUAUAUUGCGUACGUGUCAUUGAAGAGUGAAAUGAUGGUUGCUUCUUCGGACUAACUUACUGUGUGAUUUGACUGCUCCUUAGGGGCCCCUACACGUACUCCCCCUAUGUGUAUGACCGUUCCUGAGUCUAACUUGUAGUUAUCUCUAUUUUCUUGCAUGACACGUGAGUAGACCAGAUGCGCAUAGAGGAAUUUUGUUACCGCACGUUGUUACGUAGUACUAUACUACAAGUACCUACUCCCUCCUUCUAGUUCACUACUGGUACUCCCGUCCUGGCUUAUUGGUCCCCUUUGUACUCAAUUCAUGCGCUCGUUUUCCUCAAGAAAUUGUCUUUACCAACGUAUUAAUAUCAGGAAUGCAUGUGUGAAGAACGAAUGAUUAAACCUUGCAUGCAACGUUUUGACAAAGCAUUGACUUAUGAACAUGUGAAUGUAAGGGACUACAACAUCGUGCAUGCAUGCAACAGUCACGCGUACACAUGGACGCAAAAACGCGUGCGACGCCCUAAUGCAUGCAUGUCCGAGCACACGACGGAACACAUACGGUCACGCUCAAGUGCUCAACCUACAUGUGCAUGCACACACAUACUCAGCCAGGGUGAGCUAGUGACCGUAUAAACACCGGAAAAUGUAUAUAAUGAGCGCAAUGAGUGUAUUAUGAAGUCCACUGACCGUAUUUUUACAAAUAUACAGUGACAGAUAGUGUAUUUAUCUCGUUUGAAAUUAAGCCAUAUUAACCAGAAAGGAGGCAGUAUGGACUAGCAUUACUUUGUUGUGUCCCGUCAACUUGCCGAACGAGGAGAAGUUUGCAGGAUGGGAGAAGCUUGCACGUGGUGGCUCGCAGGACAAGGAGAAACUUUUGACUAAUGCAAGAUCUCCCUCGCUCAUGCGAUGGAUGUGCAAUAGUUAAUUCGGUGUCUGAUUGCCAGAAGCAUACACUAUACUAGUACUAGUAUUAUUGUUCGACUUCCCGAAGAGGCGAACAGCCAAGCGCAAAGUUUACUAGUACUAGUACUACUACUAUAGAGGUAUAUACUAUACUAUACUAGGAACCGGAUGGAGGAGCGUCUGCACUGUUAUUAUAUUUUAAAAAUGUGAUAAAGCAAUCGUCAACACAUUUGGUUCUCUUCGAGGGUUCUUGCAUGUGAUAACGGAAGUUGAUUGCAUGGAACACUCGCCACAAUUCUCGCUUAAUUCUGGCUCAGAUCCUGUUACAAAUAGGAGCGCUCGGUAAUAUUUCCUCUUUUUUUUGUUAUUCAGCAUGUAAACAGGUUAGCAAACCUUGCGGCGCAUCUUUGUGUGAAACGUGCUUGCUGCACUUUGAAUGUGGCCGAGAGCUCGCUUGAUGAAGCACCUCGCUUCCUUCUUAUUUUUUUGCGGGGUACCUCGCUUCCUAGUGACCAGUCUCUUGGCUAAUCGUCCUAAGAAUGCUUAUAUAUGAAUAAAGCUCUCUCAUUUACCCGAAAAAAGAUUUAGCCAUAUUAACCGGAAAGGAGGGAGUAUGGACUAGCGCUACUUUUUGGUGUGUCCCGUCAACUCGCAGAAUGAGGAGAAGCUUGCAGGACAAGGUGAAGCUCGCUUACGCCUUUUGACUAAUGCAACCUACCCUCUCCCAGGCGGUGGACAUGCAGCAGUUCAUUCAGUGUCAGAUUGCCACACGCAUACACUGUAGUACCCAACAUGCGAGUACCAUCAUUGUUUGACUUCAUGAAGAGGCGAAGAGCCAAGCGCAAGGUUUAUAGUUGUACGAGUAGUACUACUACUAGAGCCGCAUGGUGGAGCGUCUGUACUCUUAUUUUAUUUUAAUCUCUCAUAAAGUACACAUUUAUUCAGGAGAAGGGCGGAAAACGGCAGCCCAAUGGUAGUGUUAAAAAACAUCGAACAUGUAAUGAUGAUAUCGAUCAACCAUGCUCGAAUAUAUCUUGACCUCCGUGCGAGCCCGUCUACGUGUUCUUGCUCCUCGUCUCUCUCAAGGAAUGGCGGGUUGGCCAUUUUGCCGUCAGUUGAGAUCGGUUUGCUCACACUCCAGUCUCACAUGUCAGUGAUAUGCCAAGAGGAAGUGCAUUGACCGACUGGCCAUACGCGUACUUGGUUUUGCACCUUCAGGCCAUGCUUGGAAUGGUUGUAUUUCAAUACGGAGGCGUAUAACUUACACCUGUAAGUUACUGGCCGCUGUGCAAAUUCCAGCCGGAAUUGAAACGACAGGCGCAGGUGUGUAUUUUUUACAAGUGUAUUCAAAAGAGAAACGGUGAUCCAAACAGGGCCUCAUACUACUCCUCCCUCCAUCACAGUUUACAGGGCGCGCUUCAUUGUGAUGCAUUUCUCUCCAUGCAUUUCCACCACCAGAGAGACUUUAGAGCGUAUUGAUGGUUGCUUCUUCCGAGCAACUUACAGUGAGAAAGGUAGGGCUUAUGAUUUGACUGCUCAUUACUACUCACUAUUAGUGCGGCGCAACAACCGGGCUGAGUCUCCCAUGCGGUUGUGCACUACUCCCUCUGUUCUUAAAUAUACUAUGGAGUAUUUGUCUUUCUUGAGAUUUCAACGAGUGACUACAUAAGAAGCAAAAUGAGUGAAUCUACACUCUAAAAUAUGUCCAUUUGAAAUUUGUAAAAAGAAAAAUAUUUAGGAAUGGAGGAAGUAUAAUUUUGUGCAUGGCACAUGGACCCGGAUGCUGAAGAGGCGUCUGGCAAUGCUAUCAAGAUUCCAGCAUUUGUUUACAUAAUUGAUGUACUAUACAAAUAAUUUUCCAGUGACAUGAAAUUGUACAAUGCUCUGAGCUUUCAGCUUUUGUUUCGUGUGUCUUGCCAUCGAUGCUCUUUCGGAAACAAUAAAAACUAACUUCCUUGCUAAUGCAUCUCAGUGAUUAGUAGAUCGGAGCUAACAUUUACAUCACAACUGAAGACAAAGUUGUGAGAAGGUGUUAAAUUGAAAUUGAUCCAUGCUUCCAUUGGCAGCAACGUCCCCGCAGCUCUAUCUAAAUCAACAAGGCAUGUUGGGAAAAAAGUAGCUGUCUGGAGCAUGCAACAUUCUGAUCAUUUUGUGAAGUUCCACUAAAAUAGAGCUGAGCGUCCCUGUUCCAAAGAUAUUAAGUGUGAUUAUGAUAAUAGAGGAUUGCUGAUGAAACAAUAAACACAUAAAUAGAAGCCGAUCACCUUUGCAGUCUCUCUUAAGACUAACUACUUGGAGAAGAUUAAGCAAAUAGUUGGAGAAGAUUAGGCUCGGAGUUGGAUGAGGAGGAUAGAGCAAAACCAAUCUCCUUUUAUGCAGUCACACUGAAAUGUAGACGUUGCCCGUGUGAAAUUUUAGUACAACUGCACAAAACACUUAAGAAAAAAACUGAUUUGUGUAGUUCACCAAAAGGUCGCAAUAGCAACGAGGUGAAAUUGAUAGCCCUGUUUGCAAAAAAGAGGUAGAAAGGAAACAAUUACUGGCCAGUAACAGUUGAUGACACAUGCGACGACAAAAAAGAAGCAUAUUCCAUGUCCUAAGGGAAGAUAACAACCCGGUUGUGUUUGUCUAAAACGGUGUGAGGACGAGAUUGCAAUAUGGAAAGUACGCCGGACGAGCUACGUUUUGGGCAAAGGACUAUGGAAGAUUCACAUGAAAGAUUUUCCGCAUGUAGCGACGUGGGAAGACGGGCAGUGGAGCAAGGCCGGAGGGGAUACCUUGGGGUCAUCGGGGUGUAACUAGGUGAGCGGCGACGCGCAGGAUCUGCCCAUACUACGGCAGCGAGCAGGUGGCGUGGGCCCUACCACGCCGGAGCUUGGUCAGAGAGAACGGCGGGUACCGCAGAUCGGGACGUGCUGCCUUGGCGCCGUCGAACGGAGAAAUGAUGCACAUCCUGCCUUUCCGCCAGCGGACGGGAUGCGGCCGUAUCAGUGACCAACGGUGAGAGAUUGAGAGGCCACCGCCGCCUUGUGUGAGAUACUCCGAAGAGAGACAAACCAAGGCAGGCAGACUCCAUUGUAUAUAGUGGAGUGAACUACCUUUUUCUCCAUAAAAAUUGUUUUAUAUUAUGUAUACGUGCCAUUGAGCGAUAUAACUUUAUUUAAAAAUAACGUGCCAACGCAUCAAGUCGAACUUUGUUUCGUGCAUGCAUGGUACACGACCUCCGUUGGUAAACAACCGCUGGAUGCGUUCAAAUUAGCAUGUGGGCUGCCAUUUCGUACAGAAAUGAGCUCCACCGUGUACGCGCGCGGGUGUGGCUGGGCACGAAGCGUGAGUACGUGCACCUAUUCUCUUUGUGUACGUACACCACCUUUGUGGGGUUGUGUGAGAGAGAUACAAACAUAGAGAGAUAUAGUGUGUGGGUUCGUGAGUGUUUUUUGGGGUGUCAAUCAAAAAAUGUAACAUAUGCAAUGUGUGUGAAAAUAGAGUCCUGGAUAUAUCAUAUAUAUAGAGGGGGCGAUCACGAGAAGAGAGUGGAGGUAUCAUUGGCUUGAGGUAUCCAUAGAAUCGAAGAGAGGGAUGAUGUGUGUGUGUGUGCGCGCGCGAUCGAUAAAGAGUGCCAUCGAAUUUGUGUGUGCCCACAUCAAAGAUAUAGGGUGGCUGGCCUACUGGAACGUGAGAGGGGACAGGUGUAGUUUGUCUCUGUGGCAUGGAUACCUACCUACAGCGCUCGACUAUCGAUGUGUGGUGGGGGGAGGCCUUAUUAACUAUAGAGGUACAAUGGCUGGUAUAUGUGUGGAGGAGGAGAGAGGCCUACCUUAUGUAUUAAGGGAGAUCGAUCCGCAUCCAUGCAUAUGUGUAGGAGAGGAAUAAGGUUGGGAGAGAGAUAGAGCUAGAGUGUUGGAGGGGGUGGUAGUGGAGUUGCUUCUAACAAAUGGUGGGAGAGGCUUGCUAGACAAACGGAGGGCACGCCUGCAAUAUCAAUAAGAGAUGGGAUGGUUGCUUGUCUGUGCGCGCGUGUGUGAGAGACGAGUCUGGAGGCAUGCACAAAUGAUGAGGGGGGAUUAUAUGGUUGUGGUAAGCAGACAUAACUACAUAGGAAGAUCAAUCGUCCUCUAUCAAAGAAAGGAGAGACAUAACUUGUGAGGUACGUCAAUCGAUGGGUGGGGGGAAAAUAGUUAAAGUCGACCUAGGUAUAUGUAGGGAGAUCGAUCGGUAUACAUGCAUGUAUGUGUUAGAAGAAAAUAAGGCCAGGGGAGAAGGAUAGAGAGAGAGGGGUGCAUAUAAGAGGUGGUGCAGAGGCAUACUAUAUCGAGGGGGAAGGAGUGUGCGAGUACGAGAUUGAUGAAAAGAGUGGUGGGAGUGAGGCAUGGACGGUGAGCAGAGAAGAGGGGAAGCUUGUGUUUGUGGUAGGCACACCUGGCUAGAGAGGCAUAUCGAUCGAUGUGUGCCGUAAAGGAGCUGGGGGCCUACACACACCGUGGGUGAAUGACCUAAAGUGAAAAGACGAAUUUGCGUGAUGGAGCUAGAGAAUGCUGAGGGGGGGUGAGAGGGAUGCGGGCAUGUGAAUGCACGAGAGAAAGUUAGCGCUAGCUACAAAGAUAAGAGGAUUGUGUGGGUGUAAAAGACGAAUAGAGAUCAUAAUUCAUUAUAAAAAGCGAUUCGGAUAUUUGAAGAAUUUAUCAUAGUGUUUUAAACCGACGGAUGCGUGAAUAUAUAUAAUGGUGAUACACAUGGUGUGCUUAUGAACAUGUUAUACUACAUAUAAUAUAUUUUAUCUCUACUCUUAUAAAAGAACAAAGUUGUUGAUGAUGGUGUGCCUGCCAUCCUGCAAUAUAGGCCGUCCGAUUUAUGUCUGACGGAUAGGAAGGAAACUAUGGCAAUUUUGAAAAAAGAUACCCACACCCCUCUCCAUAUUUGCAAAUAAGGCCUCCCCUUGAUCAUGUUGAUGUUCCGUGGAACGCAUGGGCAUCUUGCUAGUACUACAUAUAAUAUAUAGAACAUUGAUUAUAAUUUGGGCUAAUGUGUGGCUUUUGCAGCUCAGGGCUAAAUACUUGUCAUAAUGUAGGGGGCGGGGCACUAUACUUUGUGUGAUAAACAUGGUGUACAUAUGGAACAUGGUUUAGAUUAUGAAUAUAUAUUUAGUACAUCAAAUGUACUAUUAUUUGGAAUCAACAUCAAGUGUAUUCAAAAAAUUGAAUUCGAGUUCAUAUAGUACACAUAGUUCAUAUCUAUCUCUAUAGUCAUGUGGUGUGUUGUUAAGGUAAUACACAAAUGAUGGUUGAAGUUGGCAACAAUCAUGAUUGUAGAUUCUUAUUGAAAUAGAGAAAUGAAUUCAAAUUCAAUUCAAAUUGUAGUGGUAGUAUAAACAUUUGGAAUGCACUAAAAUGUUGGUAUGAGUAGGUUACAUGCAUUAUACAGCCAGCAAAAAAAUUUAAUUGGACAUAACAUGGAUUCAUACUCUCUCUUUGUGUAGCUUUGAAUAGCAUUUGUAUAGUAAAACGGGACAAGACUCUCUCUUUGUGUGGAAUGAAUAGUUUUAUUUUUUUGUUUUUUUCAUUGAGGGAAGUGCGAAUUGAUUUGGUACGUAUAAGUAGAAUAUUACACGUUAGGCUUGUCCCUAAAAUUCAACCCGUGCCUUGUUAUAUCCCGAAAAUUCUGAUAUCGUGCUCCCAAAACUGGCGCCUUCACAACCCGCGCCUUGCUAUCCCAAAAUUACAACACGCGCGAAAACUCCCUCUAGCUGCCAAAUCCCGACACGCGAAAUCCCCCUUCUAACCCUGAGCCGAAAGGGUCGCUAGUUCAAAUCAGUGGGGGUACUUUUGUAACACACCCUACAUUUUGGACAAGCGCGUCCCUAAGUCAUGGUUCCCCCCUCCCAUCGCCUCCUUUUCGCCAUUCGAAAUCCCAGGCCGCCAUAACCUCUCCGCUCCAGCCAUGAAACCCCACCCUCCUCCGCUCGCCACCUCACUGCUACCCAGCCGGAGCCUCUUCCCCGACGACGUCGUCCACCGCAACAGCUCGACGUCCCUCAUCCACCUCCCCGGAUGAGGAUCCGUCAUCCCGCCGGUUCAGCCGCCCCGUCCUCCACCUCGAAGGAGCUGCUCCGAUGAUCGCCUCGUCUAUCGCGGCUGCUCCAUCCCCACAGUGUCGCCUUAACCUACUCCACCAGAACCGCAACAUCCUCACCGACUCCUUGGACGAAGCCGAGGCCUACUCGGCGCCACCAAAGAGGUUGUACACUCAUCACAUCGCACAUUCUCCUUAACUCGACCUCCCGGCGCCAACGGUGCUCCAUCCCGCACCCCCAUGGAGCGGCUACCUCGAAGGCGGCGCCACAGGCGACAUCUCCAUGGCGGCUCUCCCCCAGUGCGAGGCCCCUUCGGUGGCGGUGUCCAUACCAGCCAGAUCUGCUUCCUCUGCUCCGGCUCUCGCUCGCUCGCUCGCCCAGCUGCUGUUGCUUUGGCUCUCGCUCGCUCGCUCGCCCAGCUGCUGCUGCUUCGGCUCUCGCUCGCUCGCUCGCCCAGCUGCUGCUGCUCCGGCUAUCGCUCGCUCGCUCACGCUGCUGCUGCUGCUCUCCCCCUCUCUUAUGUUGCUGCUCUGCUCUGAUUUAGCUACACUUCAGUCGACUGAAUCGACUUCUGGGUCAGUCGAUUUUCAGGGGAUGGGGGUGGGGUCGCCGGAGUUAAGGAAGAACCACCCGCAGCGGGGAGGGGGCCUCGCUGGAGAGGUACCCCACUAUCUNNNNNNNNNNNNNNNNNNNNNNNNNNNNNNNNNNNNNNNNNNNNNNNNNNNNNNNNNNNNNNNNNNNNNNNNNNNNNNNNNNNNNNNNNNNNNNNNNNNNNNNNNNNNNNNNNNNNNNNNNNNNNNNNNNNNNNNNNNNNNNNNNNNNNNNNNNNNNNNNNNNNNNNNNNNNNNNNNNNNNNNNNNNNNNNNNNNNNNNNNNNNNNNNNNNNNNNNNNNNNNNNNNNNNNNNNNNNNNNNNNNNNNNNNNNNNNNNNNNNNNNNNNNNNNNNNNNNNNNNNNNNNNNNNNNNNNNNNNNNNNNNNNNNNNNNNNNNNNNNNNNNNNNNNNNNNNNNNNNNNNNNNNNNNNNNNNNNNNNNNNNNNNNNNNNNNNNNNNNNNNNNNNNNNNNNGGUGGGGAGUUGUUUCGGGGCGGCGAGGCGGCGGUGGGGAGUUGUUUCGGGGCGGCGAGGCGGCGCGGGGUUCAGCCGGUGGUUGCUGGCGGCUCAGGGGGUGCAGGUUGAAGAUGAACUGCAGGCCCUCCCUAAACUAUCCCAUGUGAAGUGCCUCUCUGCUACCAUUGCGUUCAGUUUCGACAAUAACAUUCAGAUUCCAUAGUAAAUUUCAGCUUCGAUAGUUAAGUUUAGAGUCAACAGUUUUUACCUCAUCUGUUGUAGCCAGGUGGUUUUGGGUGAUGUAAAUUUUACAUCUAUCACUUUUUGGUAAUGCAUUUUACAUCAUCUAUUGGAGAUGCUAUUAGAAUCCCACUUGAGAUUAACAAUGGCAAACCCUCCCCCCACCCUCUCCAGAUUGUAAUCCAGAGGAAGAUAUCUGUUCUAAGGCGGAUUCAGACGCAGCUGAAUACUCCUAUUUACCCCCCAAGGUGUUUGCUCUAACUUGGCAUGAUGGUGUUAGUCAUAUCAUGCAUGUGUUGCCUUGCGGUGCCUACUUUCAACAUCAUAUAUGUCAUCUGCUUAGUUUAUACAUGUUCUGUAAUGCCACGUGUUUAAUUUCAAUAUCAUAUAUGGGAAUUAUGCAGUCUCAUGUCUUUUAGCCAGCCAUAAUAUAUGUGAAAUGUGCAAUGCCAUCCUGUUUAACCAGGCAUCAUAUAUUUGAAUGAUAUCUAGCCCUUCCUUUUCUUCAUUAAAUUUCCAUUUGUCGACUAUGUUUGUACGUACAUUAAACUACUCUUCCUGUGAAUAAGCCAUUUGAGUGGGUGAUGGAAAAAUCUGGAGUGAAAACAAGGCCUUCUGAGCAGACAGUGCUACCUGUCGAAGCAGAUCUCUUGUUGGGUCCCGAUAGCUCCUCGGAGAUGGAUUCAGAGACAGAUGUCCAGUCCUAUUCCCCCACCGGGGUGUAUGCUCUAACUUGGCAUGGUUAUACUGCUCAUAUCAUGCAUAUGGUGUCUUGCAUUGCAUAGUUUAGACAUCAUAUACACAUUAUUCAACACCAUGUUCUUAGUUUAGACAUCAUAUAUGCGAAUGCCCUCUGCUUAGCAUAUAAAUCACAUGUGAAUUAAAUCAUGCGAUCCUGGUUACUUAGAUAACAUGUAUGUGAAUUAUGUCAUGCGAUCCUGUUUAGUUAGUAAUCAUAUCUUUGCAUUAUGUUAUGCUAUGCUAUCCAGUUUAGAUAGGCAUCAUAUAUGUGAAAUUAUGUCAUGCUAUCCGUUUUAGUUAAACAAAUAUACAAGUCAACUAUUUAAUGCCCUCUUUUUUCCACACUAUCUAUUGCAUCUGUCUCUCAUACAAUGUCUGUACAUUCAAGUAUGUUUCCUGUUUAUCAACCAUUUGAAUUGGAGCGGGUGAUGGCAGUAUCUAGCGGAGUAAAAACACGGUCUUCAAAUAAAACAGUGCUACCUCUUGGUGGAGAUAGCACCCCGAUUGUACAUGCACGAGAACCAGCCCUACCACACAUAACCCAGACUCUCGCAGAUUUUACCCCUACUGCGAUGGACAGAGAACCAGCUUCACCCAAUCUAACCCCAACCCCAGCAGAUAGUAACCCAGUUCCUGUUGACACAUCAUCAUCUCCACCACGGAGCUCCCAAACAAGAGCAGUUAGUAAGGCAGCUCCAGUGCCCAAAGCGCCAGUACUACCACGGCGAACCUCAACUCACCAGUUGGUACACCUAUUCCUGUGGAGGAAGCACGACCAGCCAUUCAUAGUUUGGCAUCUAUCGCAUUUGAUGUUGUUAAAUCCUAUGUGUGUAUCUUCCCAUCAUGGAAAUAUUAUACUAAAGAUGAAGGAAAAUGCCAGUUGCAGGUGUUUGUCCAGGAGUUAUGUGUAAGUAAUGUUAUUCAUGGCAAUUACUUUGCUUUGUCCUAUACAUUCUACCUCCAUGAUGGUUAUAAUACAACAAAUUUUCUGAUUUUUCUCCAUAGAGAAGGACCGAUUUGGAAACUCAGGAUGAGGUAACCUGUGCUAAUACCUCUGCUAUCUUCAAGAAUGCUUGGUGGCAGUAUCGGAAUUACCUGAAGAAAACGUACUUCACUGGCAAAGAAACUCAUCAAAUUCCCUUACGUUCUCCUGAGACACAUUUACUGGACGAUGACUGGGAACGCCUUGUUCUUUACUGGCCCCAAACCAAGAAUGUGGUAAGGUCUAUGAGCUCAUUUUAUUUUAAGUACUAUAUUCUUGCGUCUUACUGCACUCUGUUCAUGUAGAACAAGUGCUUAAACCUGAAGAACAACUGUUCUCAUUUAAGAUUCCAUUACUAUCGUGCAUACUGCUUUGCUCUUGUAUCACUGUAUUUACUCAUACAAACUUAUUUUUAAAUUGAACGAUCCAAUGGAAACUACAAUGGCACAACAGGUAUGUUUACGCAUGUUUCUUUAACAGGUUUCCUCUUAUAAAUAGCUCUGUUGAUUUCAAUUUCAAUUGUGUAUACAGUUGACUUCUCAUAUCAUGCACAUUACUAGCAUCAUAACAGGGCCAAUAGUGUUGUUGUACAUGUAGACCCGUGGUACCCAUCUGAAAUCUUGUUAUGCCGUGUAGUUUCCCACGCUUUGUAUUCUUUCAGUGCUGCUUUCUCUUGCACUGAUAUGAUUUGAACCAUGUCUCUAUUUUGAUUUGGCAAGACAAUGCAGUGACCAUAGGACAUAGAUAUAUGUUUGUUUAAUGCUUUUAUAAUGUACUACUUGGCAAUAGAAGACUUGGUAGUUUAAUCUUGUCCACCUUACUAAUGAACUGGUUCACUGAAAUGAGUUUCAUAUACUAGUACAUGCUAAACCUAUUAUGUGUAUGCUUGUUUCUUCUUUUAGAAUGCUGACAGAAAAUUGGGGAAGAGUGCCUUAUUAAGCAAUGAUAAAGGAAGUAAUGCAGAUAAGGUUCAGGAUCGUGAGACAUCCUUGUUGGUCUCCAACAAAGCUAAUAAAACAGCUAAGGAAAACUAUCUUGAAGACAGUGAGGCAACCCCAAAGUCCUGUCUUAGUUUAGUGUUCGAGUUACUGGCCACUAACGCUUGCACAAGCUAUUCAAACUCACUGUCUGAAUUAGUUCGGUUUCUUGAGUCUCAACUACAAGCUGAAAGACAUCGAUCAGUUGUGCUGCGACAAGAAGCGGAAGGACUGCGGAAGUCCCUGGAGCAUUCAGACGCAUACUUUCUUGUGCAACAGCAAGCAUUGGAGGAUUUUAGCGCCGAACAGGACAAAGCUAAUAAGCUGGCUAAGCUUAUUGUCAGCAUGGUGGAUACCCAGGAUAACAUUUCUUGAGCUCUUCUGAAGUUGUUUCAGUUAUCGAGUUGUUUUGUUGCCGCAUUUAUUUGCACUGGUGGCCAAUUUUGACGGCCAGUGUAUGUAAUGUGUUGUUUUGUUCCCUAUAUUUGCACUGGUGGCAAACUUUGAUGCCCAGUGGAUGUAAUAUGUGUAAUAGCUAUAAUAGGCUAGCGUAAGUUGCUUGCUUAUUUAUUUCCUUAUUGUCUUGUUUAUUUAUUUGCUUGUAGUCAGUGCAGUUCUUUUUCCGCGGUUUGCUAGUGGCCGCAAUAACCUAUUUUUUAAAACUAGGCCACAAUAACCAUGGGCUACAUAUUUACUGUAGUUACCGUGGGCCUCCUACGGGCCGUAGAAACAAUGGGCCUUCUACAGGCCAGUUUCACCACGGGUUGUUAAUGGGUAUAAAGUGAUACACUGUUCAUUACGGGACAGUUUCACCAUGGAUUGUUAAUGGGCCAAGAGUUACAAAGGGCCUCAUAUGGGCCGAAAGACUUCAUGGGCUAUACAUGGGCCGGAAGUUAAAACAGGCUGGAAUCAUAUUGGACGGCCAAGAUGAUGCUACUGGGCCUAAUUCUGAUAGGUCGUAACGGGCCCUGGGUUAGCGGGCUGUAAAUGGGCUAUAUGCGAACAGGCCGUUAACAGACUUUCCGUGGGCCGGCCCGCCACCUUUUGACCAAGUCAAACGGGCCAGCCUUUUCAUAGGAAUGGGCCUCUGUUGGUCCGUGCCACAUGUCGAUGUAUCAUAGGCGCCUUCGGUCCAAUGAGUGGAUGACAUCUGUCCCAACGGUGAGCCGACACGUGUUUCCUCCAGCCAAUGAUGAUUUUACACAUGGAAAAUCCCCAUUGGUUGGGGCUGUUAACGGGUUAUCGGAUCCAAAACCAGACCCAAAAGCGUAACGGCGAGCCGUUACAGUGGAUGCCACGUGUCUGUCACCCUUGACGAAAGCACUUCUAUGACGCGUGAUUUAUCGUCAUGGAAGUGGACACUUCCAUGAUGAUAUUUUUGUUAAUGUCAUGAAACACUUCUACGACAGCUUAGGUAUGACUAUCUUGAUUCUUUCAUAAAAUCGUCAUGGAUGUACAUGCAUGACAAAAAAACGUGACCUACUAUGACAAACACGUAUCAUCACGGAAGUGUAUUUUUUCUGUAGUGAGAUAUGAUCAACAUAGAGAUGUUCACCAUUAAAAACUACUCCAUCUCACGUGAUGAUCGGACAUGGUUUUGUUGAUAUGGAUCACGUGAUCAUUUAGAUGACUAGAGGGAUGUCUAUCUAAGUGGGAGUUCUUUAGUAAUAUGAUUAAUUGAACUUUAAUUUACCAUGAACUUAGUCCUGAUAGUUUUUGCAUAUCUAUGAUGUUGUAGAUCUAUGGCCCGUGCUACCGUUCCCUUGAAUUUUAAUGCGUUCCAAGAGAAAGCUAAGUUGAAAGAUGAUGCUAGCAACUACACGGACUGGAACCGUAACUUGAGGAUUAUCCUCAUUGCUGCACAGAAGAAUUACGUCCUGGAAGCACCGCUAGGUGCAAGACCCGCUGCAGGAGCAACUCCAGAUGUUAUGAACCUCUGGCAGAGCAAAGCUGAUGACUACUCGAUAGUUCAGUGUGCCAUGCUUUACGGCUUAGAAUCGGGACUUCAAGGACAUUUUGAACGUCAUGGAGCAUAUGAGAUGUUCCAGGAUUUGAAUUUAAUAUUUCAAGCAGAUUUCCGAGUUGAGAGAUAUGAAGUCUCCAACAAGUUCUAUAGCUGCAAGAUGGAGGAGAAUAGUUCUGUCAGUGAACACAUACUCAGAAUGUCUGGGUACCAUAACCACUUGACUCAGCUGGGAGUUAAUCUUCCUGAUGAUAGUGUCAUUGACAGAGUUCUUCAAUCACUGCCACCAAGCUAUAAAGGCUUCGUGAUGAACUAUAAUAUGCAAGGGAUGGAAAAGACUAUUCCCGAGCUCUUCGCGAUGCUAAAGGAUGCGGAGGUAGAAAUCAAGAAGGAGCAUCAAAUGUUGAUGGUUAACAAGACCACUAGUUUCAAGAAAAAGGGAAAAGGGAAGAAGGGGAACUUCAAGAAGAAUAGCAAGAAAGUUUCUGCUCCCGGGAAGAAGCCCAAGUCUGGACCUAAGCCUGAAACUGAGUGCUUCUACUGCAAAGGGACUGGUCACUGGAAGCGGAACUGCUCCAAGUAUUUGGUGGAUAAGAAGGAUGGCAGGUAUAUUUGAUAUACAUGUUAUUGAUGUGUACCUUACUAAUGCUUGUAGUAGCGCCUGGGUAUUUGAUACUGUUUCUGUUGCUCAUAUUUGCAACUCGAAAUAGGGGCUACGGAUUAAACGAAGAUUGGCUAAGGACGAGGUGACGAUGCACGUCGGAAAUGGUUCCAAGGUCAAUGUGAUCGCCGUCGUCACGCUACCUCUACAUCUACCUUCGGGAUUAGUUUUAGACCUGAAUAAUUGUUAUUUCGUGCCAGUGUUGAGCAUGAACAUUAUAUCUAGAUCUUGUUUGAUGCGAGACGGUUAUUCAUUUAAAUCAGAGAAUAAUGGUUGUUCUAUUUAUAGAGUAAUAUCUUUUAUGGUCACGCACCCUUGAUGAGUGGUCUAUUUUUGUUGAAUCUCGAUUGUAGUGAUACACAUAUUCAUAAUAUUGAAGCCAAAAGAUGCAAAGUUAAUUAUAGUGCAACUUAUUUGUGGCACUGCCGUUUAGGUCCUAUUGGUGUAAAGCGCAGGAAGAAACUCCAUGCAGAUGGGCUUUUGGAAUCACUUGAUUAUGAAUCACUUGAUGCUUGCGAACCAUGCCUCAUGGGCAAGAUGAUUAAAACUCCGUUCUCCGGAACAAUGGAGCGAGCCACUGAUUGGAAAUAAUACAUAAUGACGUAUGCGGUCCGAUGAGUGUUGAGGCUCGUGGCAGGUAUCGUUAUUUUCUGACAUUCACAGAUGAUUUGAGCAGAUAUGGGUAUAUAUACUUACUGAAACAUAAGUCUAAAACAUUUGAAAAGUUCAAAGAAUUUCAGAGUGAAGUGGAAAAUCAUCGUAACGAGAAAAUAAAGUUUCUACGAUCUGAUCAUGGAGGUGAAUAUUUGAGUUAUGAGUUUGGUCUUCAUUUGAAACAAUGUGGAAUAGUUUCGCAACUCACGCCACCUGGAACACCACAACGUAAUGGAGUGUCUGAAUGUUGUAACCGUACUUUAUUAGAUAUGGUGCGAUCUAUGAUGUCUCUUAUCGAUUUACCGCUAUCGUUUUGGGGUUAUGCUUUAGAGACGGCUGCAUUCAUGUUAAAUAGGGCACCAUCUAAAUCCGUUGAGACGACACCAUAUGAAUUGUGGUUUGGCAAGAAACCUAAGUUGUCAUUUCUUAAAGUUUGGGUUGCGAUGCUUAUGUGAAAAAGCUUCAACCUGAUAAGCUCGAACCCAAAUCGAAGAAAUUUGUCUUCAUAGGAUACCCAAAGGAAACUAUGGGGUACUCCUUCUAUCAAAGAUCCGAAGGCAAGAUAUUCGUUGCUAAGAAUGGAUCCUUGCUAGAGAAGGAGUUUCUCUUAAAAGAAGUGAGUGGGAGGAAAGUAGAACUUGAUGAGGUAGUUAUACCUUCUCCCAAAUUGGAAAGUCGUUCAUCACAUAAAUCAUUUCCAGUGAUGCCUACGCCAAUUAGUAAGGAAGUUAAUGAUGAUGAUCAUGAAACUUCAAAUCAAGUUACUACCGAACCUCGUAGGACAACCAGAGUACAUUCCGCACCAGAGUGGUACGGUAAUCCUGUUCUGGAAGUCAUGUUACUAGACCAUGACGAACCUAAGAACUAUGAGGAAGUGAUGAGCCCAGAUUCUGUGAAAUGGCUUGAGGCCAUGAAAUAUGAGAUGGGAUCCAUGUAUGAGAACAAAGUGUGGACUUUGGUUGACUUGCCCGAUGAUCGGCAAGCCAUAGAGAAUAAAUGGAUCUUCAAGAGGAAGACUGACGCUGACGGUAAUGUUACUGUCUACAAAUGUCGACUUGUUGUGAAAGGUUUUCGACAAGUUCAAGGAGUUGACUACGAUGAGACCUUCUCACCCGUAGCGAUGCUUAAGUCUGUCCAAAUCAUGUUAGCAAUUGCCACAUUUUAUGAUUAUGAAAUUCGGCAAAUGGAUGUCAAAACUGCAUUCCUUAAUGGAUUUCUUAAAGAAGAGUUAUAUAUGAUACAACCAGAAGGUUUUGUCGAUCCUAAAGGUGCUAACAAAGUGUGCAAGCUCCAGCAAUCCAUUUAUAGACUGGUGCAAGCAUCUCGAAGUUGGAAUAUACACUUUGAUAGUGUGAUCAAAGCAUAUGGUUUUAUACACACUUUUGGAGAAGCCUGUAUUUAAAGAAAAUGAGUGGGAGCUCUGUAGCAUUUCUAAUAUUAUAUGUGGAUGACAUAUUUUUGAUUGGAAAUAAUAUAGAUUUUCUGGAUAGCAUAAAAGGAUACUUGAAUAAGAAUUUUCAAUGAAAGACCUCGGUGAACCUUCUUAUAUAUUGGGCAUCAAGAUCUAGAGAUAGAUCAAGACGCUUAAUUGGACUUUCACAAAGCACAUACCUUGAUAAAGUUUUGAAGAAGUUCAAAAUGGAUCUGUCAAAGAAAGGGUUCUUGCCUUUGUUACAAGGUGUGAAGUUGAGUCAGACUCAAUGCCCGACCACUACAAAAGAUAGAGAGAAAAUGAAAGUUAUUCAUAUGCCUCAGCCAUAGGUUCUAUCAUGUAUGCAAUGUUGUGUACCAGGCCUGAUGUGUGCCUUGCUAUAAGUUUAGCAGGGAGGUACCAAAGUAAUCCAGGAGUGGAUCACUGGACAGCGGUCAAGAACAUCCUAAAAUACCUGAAAAGGACUAAGGAUAUGUUUCUCAUUUAUGGAGGUGACAAAGAGAUUGUCGUAAAUGGUUACUUCGAUGCAAGCUUUAACACUGAUCCGGAUGAAUCUAAGUCACAAACCGGAUACACAUUUAUAUUGAAUGGUCGAGCUGUCAGUUGGUGCAGUUCCAAGCAGAGCGUCGUGGCAGGAUCUACAUGUGAAUCGGAGUACAUAGCUGCUUCGGAAGCAGCAAAUGAAGUAGUUCAUAUCUGAUCUAGGCAUAAUACCUAGUGCAUCGGGUCCAAUGAAAAUCUUUUGUGACAAUACUCUUGCGAUAGCCUUGGCGAAGGAAUCCAGAUUUCACAAGAGAACGAAACACAUCAAGAGACGCUUCAAUUCCAUCCGCGAUCAAGUCAAGGAGGGAGACAUAGAGAUUUGCAAACUACAUACGGAUCUGAAUGUUGCAGACCCAUUGACUAAGCCUCUUCUAUGAGUAAAACAUGAUCAGCACCAAGACUCCAUGGGUGUUAGAAUCAUUACUAUGUAAUCUAGAUUACUGACUCUAGUGCAAGUGGGAGACUGAAGGAAAUAUGCCCUAGAGGCAAUAAAAAAGUUGUUGUUUAAAUUUCCUUAUAUCAUGAUAAAUGUUUAUUUUUCAUGCUAGAAUUGUAUUAACCGGAAACUUAGUACAUGUGUGAAUGCAUAGACAAAACAAAGUGUCCCUAGUAUGCCUCUACUUGACUAGCUUGUUAAUCAAAGAUGGUUAAGUUUCCUGACCAUAGACAUGUGUUGUCAUUUGAUGGCCGGAUCACAUCAUUAGAGAAUGAUGUGAUGGAAAAGACCCAUCCGUUAGCUUAGCAUUAUGAUCAUUUAGUUUUAUUGCUAUUGCUUUCUUGAUGACUUAUACAUAUUCCUCUGACUAUGAGAUUAUGCAACUCCCGAAUACCGGAGGAACACCUUGUGUGCUAUCAAACGCCACAACGUAACUGGGUGAUUAUAAAGAUGCUCUACAUGUGUCUCCGAAGGUGUUUGUUGGGUUGGCAUAGAUCAAGAUUAGGAUUUGUCACUCUAUGUAUCGGAGAGGUAUCUCUGGGCCCUCUCGGUAAUGCACAUCACUAUAAGCCUUGCAAGCAAUGUGACUAAUGAGUUAGUUGCGGGAUGAUGCAUUACGGAACGAGUAAAGAUACUUGCCGGUAACGAGAUUGAAAUAGGUAUGAUGAUAUUGACGAUCGAAUCUCGGGCAAGUAACAUACCGUUGACAAAGGGAAUGACGUAUGUUGUUAUGUGGUUCGACCGAUAAAGAUCAAGAUGGCAGUUAAGGCAGUACAAGAAAUACGUCAACUUAAGACCAUCACUAUUUGUCGCUGAAUGGUCGUUGUUUUUCAUUUGUGACCUUUUUGGGACCAAAAACAGAUGGUCAAAAGUUGACCAUCUUUAAUGGAAAUUAACGACCUUCUUUGUGAUUAGGUCAUUGAAGGCAACUACCAAAACAAAAGGUCGUUGAUCCUACGACCUUCUGUUUUGGUCGCUAGCUGUCUGCCCAGGCCACGACGGAUCUGACAUGGCAAGCUGACGUGGCAAAAUUGCGACCAAAUGAAAAGAUCGUUGAUAAGAAUCAGCCCGGUCCAGUUCGGUGUUUUACGUGGGGCGAGCCCAACAAUUUAGCCUUUCUACAUAUAUUUUUCUUGUCAACUUCAUGGGCCAAGCCCAACAAUUCAGCCUUUUUAUUUCAUGGGUCAUGGCCUUUUUGUACCAACAGUUUUCUUUUUUCUUUUUUUAUAUAGUCAAACAGGUCCCACUUGUCAGGUUCUGAUAAAUGGGUCCCAGCUAUUAGGCUCAUAUUCUUCGUAUUUCAAUUUGACAGUAAGAAAAUAACCAGUAGUUAAAUUGGCAAGCAGAAAACACUCAUGAUACUUCAAAUAACAAUAGCCAGAUAUAGUACAAGCUCUACAAAUAACACGUACUACAAGCUGUAACAUAUACAAUACUUUACAAGUACUACAAGUUACACGUAAUACAAGCUUAGUUGAUACAAGCUCUACAAGUAUGGGAAUCACAGUUACAAGCUCCACAAGUGUUUUCUUCUUCUACAUGUAACUCCUUCAAUAUCGAUCAAAUGCCAGACUCACUGGAGGGCCAUAGUCAGGACUGGACCUUCCACGGACGCCCUGUUACAUGAAUCAGCUGAUAAGAAUUAGAAAAACUGGAGCCAAUAUAUUAUGAACAUCCCAUUCAAAAAACGAGUAAAGGAGUAAAGGACAUUCUUUGUUUCAUCACGUUACAAAGGAGCAGCACAAACCACAAAUUUACUCGACACACACACACAUACACGCAUGCAUUCUAAAUAUACUAAAUCUAGCUAGGUUUCUUUUACCUGGUUUUUUUGACUUUUUUCUAUCAGUGAAAACUAUGCCAAUGAGAUAGGGACACGUUAUUUACUGGGGGACAUGGGCGUGUGAGCGCCGGGGUGGACUUAGUGAUUUAGGUUACUGGGGACAUGCUUUCUGCCCGCACAUGGGCUGCAUGCCGGCGUGUUUGAUUUGGUCAUAUCGUUUUUGUCCGCUUGCUGUUUUGCCUGGCCGACUGCAUGGCGCCGUGAUUCAUGGGCGGGCUGCUGCAUGUGCGUCUGCAUGCGGCCGUGGUUGAUUCAACUGCGUUUUUUUUCUUCCGUAUUUUUCUGUCGUUCAGUUGCAUGCCGUUUGAGUUUUUUGCUUCUCUGUGCGUGUCCAUCCACGUGUUGCAUGGAUAGUGGUCAUUGUAUGAUGUUGUUACAUGUCGAGUGCAUUGUGUUGAUUGGGAGCUCGCCACGUUAUUCGGUACUGUCACCAUCUGUUUAUAGAGGUUGACGUGUGUUGGGCUUCCAGGCGGUGCCGCUCUUGCCGUAUGGUCUCGAAACCAUUUUUUUCGAUCGUUCUGUAUCUUUCUGGUUAAUUCGAUUUAGGUUUCUUGUUCCUGGAGGACGCUAUAUAUAGGUGGCUCUCCCCGUUGGUUUUCUUUGCCUCGCUGGCUGCGAUUUCUAUUUUAUGCCUAUUGAUGGUUCGUCCUGCCUCUGCCCGGAGCCGGAGCGACUUGCUUCGCCCAGGCCGCCAUCCUGGUGUUCGAGCAGCCGUCAUUAAUCGGGUGUCUAAUGGCUGGAGCCGAGCUGCUGCCUGAGGUCGUCGUGCGUUAAUGAGAGAGGAUGCCGUUGGUGGCCGACUGUCCGUGUCCGAUGUUCAUUUGUUGCGUUGGGUUCGUCGUCCUGUCUGCCUUGUAGUUACUGGUUGGUUUGGUCUAUCUGCUUGCUUCUCUNNNNNNNNNNNNNNNNNNNNNNNNNNNNNNNNNNNNNNNNNNNNNNNNNNNNNNNNNNNNNNNNNNNNNNNNNNNNNNNNNNNNNNNNNNNNNNNNNNNNNNNNNNNNNNNNNNNNNNNNNNNNNNNNNNNNNNNNNNNNNNNNNNNNNNNNNNNNNNNNNNNNNNNNNNNNNNNNNNNNNNNNNNNNNNNNNNNNNNNNNNNNNNNNNNNNNNNNNNNNNNNNNNNNNNNNNNNNNNNNNNNNNNNNNNNNNNNNNNNNNNNNNNNNNNNNNNNNNNNNNNNNNNNNNNNNNNNNNNNNNNNNNNNNNNNNNNNNNNNNNNNNNNNNNNNNNNNNNNNNNNNNNNNNNNNNNNNNNNNNNNNNNNNNNNNNNNNNGUGUUUGUUUUCUUGAUCUUUGUAGGGGCUGGGUCUACAUCUCUAUAAUGAUUCGUCUGCUGGUGGUUUGUACAUUCUGGUGGCCACAACCUCGGCGACCCGGGCUACAACGAAAGUGGCUGUGGCGGGGAUGGACGAUGCUCCUGCUGCACGCGGAGCUCUGGUGGAGGUGGCUCAUGCAUCUGGUGCGCCUGCAGGGGCGGUGGUAUUGAACUCUUGAUGGUGCGCAUGGCAUACUUCGUGAGGCAAAGCAGCCUGGGGGCGCGAGGUGGCCCGCUCGAUGGUGCCUGCGUGCAGGUUUCCCGGGAUCCGUCUUGGGUGCUGGAGCUAUCACGCCGCCGCCACUCCAGUUGCUGUCUCCGGCCGCUGCGUAGCUCCGCUGCUCGCAAGUUGUGCAGAGACAACCGUUGUCUAGCCCCGUUUACUUGUCGGAGCCGAUCCGGUUCUUAGAGAGAGAGAAGAGGUAGCGGUAUGGGGCUCAUGAUGCCAAGGUCCACGGUCCAGCUGCCACUGUCUACCUCUGUCUAGGUUGAGCUCGAGGGCGGGAGCUGGCGGUGCGCUAGGGAACCGGCGGAACGAGCUGGCGGUGCCGCCGUGCUCCACAACAUGGAGUAUGCCAUCGUCAUGGACUCAAACGCCCAUUGCCCGGGUGCUUUGCUGUUUGCGGCGUGGUUGGUCGCCACGAUACUCAACUUCGCGGAUUCUACGUCCGGUGUCUGCUAUCGGACUCUACGCGGGCGACUAUGAGGUGGCGGGGCAGUCGACGGGCCCUAGGCAUGCCGGCGCACGCGUUCUCGCCGACUUGGGCGAUUCAGCGGCUUCGUGUUGUGCGUGUCGCUGGACGCGGCCGUCGAUUAAGGAUCGGUGGCGGGUGCACGAGAUGGACGACCUGCUCGGGUUUGCCUACUCGAUGGAGAAUGACAAUCAUGCGCGGAUCCGUAUGACUAUCACGUCACGGGAGCUGACCAACCACGACGUCGUCACGGUAUCCAGAGCCUGUAAGAGAGCAACUCAAACUUCAAUGUCGUCACACCGCCGGCGACGAGUUGCAGGGAAAUCCAUAGCAGGUCCGCGAGCAUGCACUUCGCGCGGUGGAGCGGCUCGGCCGGCGUAGCGCGCACAAGCGUUUGUGUGGGUAGUUGCUCAUCGAUGGACGACCUUUUUUCAGAACUUUGUGAGCAUUUAAACACUGGUCACUGGGUGUGGAAGAUAGGGUAUAUUGUAUAUACGUGAUUUUUACAUGUAUAGAGCAAAUAAUACACAAAUUAAUAGAUACUGGAGGCUUUUCAAAGAAAAUAUGAUACACUUGGCAAAAAUAAAAUGAUACUCUGAGUUCACUAAGCGAUUCAUUCCUUCUAGAUUUUCUGGGCGAUCUCUUCUUUCCUCGACGAUUUUCUUAUCUACUCCAUCGGGUGGAUGGGCAGAGAGAGGGAGAGCUCCCAUGUAUGCGAGCUCUUACGUCGGGUAGGGAAUUCAGACUAUAAACGGGUACGACCAAUCAGCUGCAUGCAAACUACCUCCAUCUAUGUAUCCGAUCCAUGCAAAACCAGGAUGGUAAAUCAAUCCUAAAUUAACUUAACAGGUCAACUCUUUCCUUUGUAUAUCUUUUAUUCUUGUCAAGCCUUUCCUUGGGUCGUUCCUUAUGCGUAGAGUAAAAAAAGGAGGAAGUACAAGCUAGCUAACAAGAAAAAUAAUUUAUCACAUGGCAUAUGUAAUAAGCUAUAAAAAACCAGAAAAUAAUUUUGUCCUGGGGGUUCGGUUCGAGGUGAGUAUUGAGGAUCAGUAAUUAACUGCUUUACACGAGAAAUGUUGGGAGGUUAACAUAAAUCUAGGGAAGAAAUUGGACGCAUCGACUGGCUUAAACUGAACUUUGCAAAUCGUUCCUCUUACCGUCCCCAAUUUGUUGAAAUUGUAAAAUUACCACACAUACAUGGAUUUUACAAGAAAUAUGUGAGGCAUUAUACAACUUCAUAUACCCACGACACCCAUAUCCGAUGAUCCGAUAGUACCAUGCACCAGGCUUAAACCACCUCAGGAUCACCUUCAAGAAUUGUAUUUUUCUAAAUGUACCAUCUACUGCCUUAACUUUACAAUAAAAUAAUGGACUAAAUUCAUACUUUUUGUAAACCUAGAUAUAUGACUAUUAGCUAAAAACAUAAACUAUAAAACAUCCAUACACAUCAAUAAACAUAUCAUUCACACAUUUACACUAUUAUAUAACCAGAUGAUCCUUAAGACUGUAUUUAUUUAUAGACAAACAAACACAACCCGAUGACAAAGUUAAGAUAUCAUUUCAAAUUAAUUCCAAUCAGCUUUUGCGAUAGCAUAUCCAUAUGCCUUUCUGUCAUCCCAUUUCGUAGUUCAACACCAUAUCGUAUAUUUUGCAUCAAGGAAAAGCAUUAUUUUCCCAAUCUACACCCUUCAUUUCAAAUUAGCCAUCUUCCCAAGUGAACAUAUGAUUCUCUCUACAACUUCCUCUGUGUAUUCACGUCAAAUAUAACUCAUUGGUCCGAUCAACUAUAUCUUCUAUCAAAUCAAACAUGUUAUCACUCGAUAUGAGUACGUUCACACUAAAAAUGUACUUUCACAAUACAAAUGUAACAACUCAUACUAUAUUUCCCCUCACCAAGACGUCUACUUUCGAAAGUGUGUUCUCUUUCACCUAUAGUGUUAGGAAUAUCCACAAAGAGACCUCUUCGUUCAACAUAUCCCAUAUCUGCGAUCCUCAAGACAGCACAACUAUUAAGACAAGGGAAAAUUAGUAUUUUUUAUUACAUGAGCAAAAAAUAGCACUUACACACGCAACGUAUCGAUGGGGUGCGGCGUGCCGCCGCACGGGCUAAGCUAGUAUUAAGCUAAGUUCCAGCAACUAUAUCAUGGUUUAAUAGAGCAUGUAAUGAAUGACAGUUCAAUUUCACAGCCGGCCUCAGCAUCAUCAAACCACCAUGCUUAUGAUCAUAACCUAAGCAUAUCAUCAAACAAAACCUACAUAGAUAAAGAUCACGGCACAUCAAGCCACAAGCGUUGGCAUGAGAUUCAAUGCAACAGCGAUGGGGCUACCACAACAGCAUCAAAAACCUAAGCAUACUACAGAAAAUACAUAGUUGGUGCUGGAGGGACUGGUGAAUUACCUCAGUGGCGUACUUGAUGGGUGAUGAUGGUCCUUCUCAAGGAAGUAGUUGUUGUCCACAGUUAAGAGGUUUCAUACAUUUGUCUACAACAUCCAGCAAACCAGAAAUAAGAACGAACACUUCAAUCUCAUAAGAAGUUUAAAAAAUAAUAUAGCAGGACCUAAUUAAUGUUGCAAAUUAUAUUAUGGAUGCAUACAUUGUGAUGCGAAAAAUGAUUAGAUCAUCAUAAAAUGACAUUCAACAUCUAUGUAAUAAAUUGCUAACAAACCUAUACAGAUCAUCCAUUGCUAACAAACCUAUACAUAAAGUAAUAAAUUGUACCCCCUAAUACAGACCAUGAAUUGGGCCGAACAAGCUCGUGUUAACUGGCUACCAUUCGAAUCAUAAUUGUACCAUGGCAUAGAAAAGAAUUCAGUAACCUCACUUCUACAAAUUAACCUGAUGCUGUUGUACUCCUACACCAUUAAAGCUCAUGGUCGGGAUAAACAAUACUAAUAACCCAUAGAUAGCAUGGUAUAGAAUCAAGCAAACAGUUAAUACUAGCUAUCUCAAGGAACAACAAAAAAUAAAUGUUGAGAACUAUGGUACAAUAAACAUACAAGACAUAUGUCGUCCAUGGAAUCAGUGCAUUGCUGUAGCAGAUCACCAGGUAUGGUGCCAUGCCGCAUAAUUGAUUUCCUGAACUCAGUAUGCUACACUUGUCUAUCCCACAUCAGGGCUCAUGAAUCCUCAUCAAAGUGUCAAAUUUUACCUGAAGUAGGGCAGUGGUCACAGCGAAAACCACGUACAGGUCAAUGAUCUGCACGGCACGAGAAGCACAUCAGGAAUUCGGUAGCCGUGAGUGGCAGACAAAAAAAUACUGUUAGGAAAUCUGUACACGAAUGAGGCAUAGAGCAGCAAAAUGAGAUAGAUAUUCAUGAUCUUCACAGCAUGAAUCCAAAUCCUACGGCUGAUAGUGGCCCUCUUUAUACUACAAACGACACCUGUACACAACCAUUGACACCGUUCAAGAAUCACAACAGCACACUAAGAAAAAUGAUAGGUUCGGCAAGCCUGUAACAUACUAUAUACAGCAAUAGGAGCAAAAAUCUAAUAAAUUCAUUACAGGCUUGCCAAUAAAAAUAGCAGGUUACCUACACACCAGGAAACAUAAACUUGAGAGGUUGAGAUGAAGGCCUAUCAACUACAUCAGUUUUAAACACUACAGGACCAGACAGUAGGUGAUGCUUCAAAUUUCAAAACUCAAUCAUUCAUGAUUAAUAGUAGCAAUUUAAUCUUACAAAACAUAGGGGCAUGUACAACAUGAGAGCACACUACAACCAGAACUUACAACCAGACCUUCCUCGAAUUUUAUGCACAGCCGCAGCAGAUAAGCUAUAUGAACAUAAUGAUAUAACCCAUAACUAACAAUACCAAUUUUAUGCAUCAUGAAUGAAGAAAUCAAAAUAGGAUGCUUUUCUUUACUAGUGUGUGGAGGAAAAGGAAAAGCAGCAGCACAUGCUUUUCCUAUUUGCUUUGCUUUCCUAUUAGCAUCUCCGAUCAAUCAAAAAGGAUGCAGCAAGUGAUUACAUUAACCCCGAUUCAAAUAUUUCAAGUACUGGACAAUCAUUUCAUGCAGCCAUUCAUAAACAUACUACUACAAGGGAACUACAACUUUUUAUUUUUAAGCAUAACGUUUAAGUAUGUAAACUUUUCUCUAGAGUCCCUACACACUACACACUACUACUCAACUACUGUAUGUGUGUAGUACUAUGUCAGUAAGCAGCAGAGGAGAUUUAAAAGGAAGGACCAUGUGUGUGUAUGUAGAAAACACACACAAGAAACACUGAAUAUGAUCUAUUUAGUCGGACAGGUUCAGUUACGGACAACUCUGGGAAACAUGUACUACUAUAUGCUUCUCUGCCACAAGUGCCGAGAUUAUCUGUGGGAUUUUGGUGAACACCUUUUUAACUAGGCAGACAUUGUAUUUUUUAUAGUACAAAAUCCUAUCUUCUUUACAAUACAUGUAGCCAUCGUCCGUUGCUCUGUAGCUGUUGUGGAGUUGCCAGCACGAAAUAGAGCAAACAUAUAUUCGCAUUUCAGAGGGCCGACCAAUGUUUAUAUCAGGGGUGAAACAAUACCAAAAGUAGACAUGGAAUAUGGUCCAGUCGAUCAACCAUACUUUUAAAAGCUUACUUAUUAUACAUUACUACCGGGCAGUCCUUGGGAUUUCAAACAAGCAGAAACUCCAUCGACAAUUAACUACAAGAUCUAAUAGCAGAACCUACCUUUGCAUAACCAAAAGUACAUGUAUUAAUUCAAGCUAACAACUAAAAAGAAACAGAGACUUGAUGGCAGCAGGAUCAUCUUCCACUUGAGAAGCUGGCUGGAGUAGAAAAGGAUGAUUAGACGUGAAUAUGGAUAUAAGUGCACAUCAACUGCUUUUGCAUAAGCACACCAUAUAUAUACAUUGAUGUUUCGAGGUCGGUCUUGCCGUGGACUCACAAUCCACAUCCAACAGCCCACCAUCUCGUAUAUACAUCCAAAUCAUAAAAAUGGCGGUCAAACAACAAGGUAGUGCAAAGAAAUUAUGUAAGCUAUUGUGCUGGAUCACUAUCAUUCACGCAAUAACUAUCAAACACAUGCAUCAAUAGUUAAAUACUUCUGACAGACUAUCAAAGGUCAAACAUACUUGUUGGGAGUUUUCUUUUUCAGCAUGAGACACAAUAAUCUUAAGUAGCAACAAUGAAAAGAACUUCCUAACUACGGGUCCUCUUAUCGCCAACCAAGAACAUUAGGUGAUGAAAAACAAUGUAUUUUCAAAGCUAUACUUUAGCAAACCACCACUUCUCUACUAACAUGUGAGUGAAAUUACUACAUUAUUGUUCCAUAGAGUUUAUGUGUACAUUGGCCAUUAAUUGAUGAGGACUGAUGCAAUGGAUGCUGCCUUGGCAACUGAUGCGACCCAGUGAUAUAUAAAUUCUGAGGUCUUUGAUGUUUCGCCUGAAGCCGGUAAUGUUCAAAAAUACACUGCAUGUACACCUGAUUACAUACGGCCAAGUCACGAAGAUGAACAUGCACUAGUAAAUGGUAUGGUCAUGCAAACUGAUGUGUUGGAGACCACGUGCAUAGAUGAGGAAAAGAAGGGCGUUCAGUUUGAGAUUAAAUGCCACCGUAUCAGACGUGCAUGUGGAGGAAACCAAGGAAAAGAGCAUCCUAAUUAUUUUGGUAAGCCACGAUUAGAAGAUGGCAUGAAGGAGUCCACGAGCCAUCGUGAAUGUUUCCUUGGCAGAAUUAUCUACUAUGCCAGAAUUAAAAUAAGAAGAUUAUUUACGUUUAUUUUUCUAUCCCGCAAGGAAAAGAUAAACAUGAGGAUUCUUUUUAUUUGCGAAUUAUUCAGCUUAAAGGACGUCGGCUGGGGUCCACCACAGACAGGGAAAAAGCCACAUCAGAACUAGCAGUUUUUGUUUUCUUAGAUAGAUCAAGUCGGUUUAGCAUAUACGUAGGAGUUAUCUUUUCUUUUAAAUAUGUAGCAAAUGCUUGCUUUCCAAGCUACUUAUGGUGUGCGUGCGUGAGGUCUUUGGACCAAGUCAGGGUGCGGCUAUUAUAAGUAGCCAUACUACAGUCCAUGUAAAGGGAGGUUAUUUUUUAUGAAAUAAACAUGAUGUGUUUUUCAGGGUAGACACCCGUAUCAAGUUUUGGAGGGAUCUUUAGAAAACCUCUGUGUUGCGAUUUCUCUUCGUGGAAAUUGUUUUGCGCGUGAGUACCUUCGUCGAGAUUGGUUUUCUCGUGCUGGGCCGCAAGGUUCAAACCCUCUACUUCGUGUACAUCGCGUGCGCGGGCGAAAGGUUGCUACUGCUGGUGGUGGAGUGUCGUGAAAGGUCGGGCCGCAACAACGGAUCGGAUCUCGCCAACGAGGUCCGGUUUUCAUCAGGUGGUAUUCAGAGCAAGGUUGUUCACGACACUGUGCAAGAGAUGACUGGAUUAUCAUGGAAGCUAAGCUAUGGAUUUCAAUUGGAAGAGGAAGGUCGAUGGGAUGGACUUUUUCAUACUUGUGUUGUGGUACAAGAGAGAUCAUGCGCCAUGACAAUCGACCACAUGAGUUUGAUCAACGCUGCAAGCAUCGAGAUGGUGGAGAAGCUAGAUCUACCAAUGACACCACGAGCACAACCAUACUUGUUUCGUUGGGGUCAUGAAGAGCUCAGUGUCACACACCAAACAAAGGUACCGUUUUUGUUGGGAAAUUUUCUUUGCACGGUUUUGUGUGACGUAAUUCCGGUACCGAUGGUUUCAUGUCACUUAUUGUUGGGCAAGCCAUGGUACAAAGAGCACGAUGUUGCUUAUGAUUGUCAAACACACGUAUAUACCGUCAAGAAGGAUAAGAAGUACGACCUUGUGCCCAUGGGUCAGAAUCAUUUUAUUGCUUGGAGAAGAGAACAUCAGAAGAAGAUAAAAGAAGAGGAAGAUGCAAAAAAGAAUAUGGUCGAAGCUACUGAAAUGAUCACCAUUCAAUCCGUACAUGAAAAUAUUGUUAUAAAGAUUGAGUCGAAACCGAGGACGGUUUCCGUUCAAGGGGGAGAGGAUGAUGCGACCCAGUGUAAUAUAAAUUCUGAGGUCUUUGAUGUUUCGCCUGAAGCCGGUAAUGUUCAAAAAUACACUGCAUGUACACCUGAUUACAUACGGCCAAGUCACGAAGAUGAACAUGCACUAGUAAAUGGUAUGGUCAUGCAAACUGAUGUGUUGGAGACCACGUGCAUAGAUGAGGAAAAGAAGGGCGUUCAGUUUGAGAUUAAAUGCCACCGUAUCAGACGUGCAUGUGGAGGAAACCAAGGAAAAGAGCAUCCUAAUUAUUUUGGUAAGCCACGAUUAGAAGAUGGCAUGAAGGAGUCCACGAGCCAUCGUGAAUGUUUCCUUGGCAGAAUUAUCUACUACGCCAGAAUUAAAACAAGAAGAUUAUUUACGUUUAUUUUUCUAUCCCGCAAGGAAAAGAUAAACAUGAGGAUUCUUUUUAUUUGGGAAUUAUUCAGUUUAAAGGACGUCGGCUGGGGUCCACCACAGACAGGGAAAAAGCCACAUCAGAACUAGCAGUUUUUGUUUUCUUAGAUAGAUCAAGUCGGUUUAGCAUAUACGUAGGAGUUAUCUUUUCUUUUAAAUAUGUAGCAAAUGCUUGCUUUCCAAGCUACUUAUGGUGUGCGUGCGUGAGGUCUUUGGACCAAGUCAGGGUGCGGCUAUUAUAAGUAGCCAUACUACAGUCCAUGUAAAGGGAGGUUAUUUUUUAUGAAAUAAACAUGAUGUGUUUUUCAGGGUAUUCACCCGUAUCAAGUUUUGGAGGGAUCUUUAGAAAACCUCUGUGUUGCGAUUUCUUUUCGUGGAAAUUGUUUUGCGCGUGAGUACCUUCGUCGAGAUUGGUUUUCUCGUGCUGGGCCGCAAGGUUCAAACCCUCUACUUCGUGUACAUCGCGUGCGCGGGCGAGAGGUUGCUACUGCUGGUGGUGGAGUGUCGUGAAAGGUCGGGCCGCAACAACGGAUCGGAUCUCGCCAACGAGGUCCGGUUUUCAUCAGCAACCAUAGUAGUUUAGGCACAACAGUGUAAACCCACACAAAUACUAGUAAUUCCAUCAUAUUAAGGACCGUUUUAUCAGGUUCAUGUGUAUGGCCUCACAAAAUUUGUAUACUAAUCACUACUGGAGUUCCCAACUCAAUUGAGUUCAAGAAUAGGCAGCGAGCAUAGCCAACGAGUUGCCGCCAUGGGCAACGCUCUGAAGCGGGCUCGCCUGGCCGCUCGGACAAUAUCCUCGAUCUGCUAGGGCAAGAACAAGAGUAAGUUUUGGUCACGUUAAUAAGAUGAUGAUAUAAAAAAAUGAUCAGCGGAUGGUCAAAUGUACACAUGACAGCAUGUUUUAUUGCUUCCUUCUAAUUGCUCACACCAAUAGCAUCAAAACAUUUUUCCGGUCCUAUGUUUGCAGUACAGAAAGCCAGAAAGAAUUUGGUGGCUUCCCUUUUCAGUGGAGCCCCAGACCAAAUACACCCUCAUCAAUAAUGCAAGUCCAGAGAUGCAAUGCAACUUUGGACCACUAAAUGCCACCCGAGUCAUGCAAAACCCAGUUUCACACGCUAAACAUCAAGCAUUACAAACAGAGCAAAUUAAUACUGAUGCUGUGAACACCUUGACUAGAAAGGCCACCACCUAGUGUCCACAGCUAGACAACAGGGCGGAGAAUCACCAACAGGGCAGAGAAUCACUAUCGGUGCACAACACUGCAGUCUACAUCUGCAGCUGCCCAUUCACUAGAACCACACAGACCACUAGCUGUGCUAUUCGAUAAUAGUUGAUAUUAUUUUUUAAUAAUCAUAACAAAAAUUACAUCUAAUAUCAGCGAGGUGUUUAGUUGGAUGCAGAUCAUAAUAUCACAACACAUUAAAAUUGACUAUGUAAAGCAUGAUAAUGGCCUAACUAGAUCUGAGAUUUCACACUAGUGGCAACUAAACUAGUACAGAAGUGCACCCAUGUCUCAUGAAAAGCACGAUCCUCACACUGCAAUUGCUUAUCAGAUCUAAACUACAAAACGAAAUGGCUAGACAUCACAGAUCGCAUGCUUAAAUUAGGAACUACGAAUAGUUCAUGUUCCUGACAAAUUCAGAAGGGUCGCACAGAUCGAACACUAAUUGCCGCAUUCUUGGGGGAAAACAAUUAGACCUACACGGGAAGGUAAUCCAGUAAUCCCAUCACGGUUCAAAUCGUGCAUCAAUUACAACCUAAAUAUUCCAAACCAGAGAAGAUCUGACAACUGAAAGUGUUCAUACAAUCAUUGUUUGAACCACAUACAAGUUCGACAUCGGAAGGGGCGAGAGAUGGGAUGAGAUGGGGUAUGAAGAACCUAGAUGCCGUGCUCGAGGCAGUAAAGUUCCCAGCACGCGUUGCCGAACUGGAUUACGGGAAGUCGCCAGGGUGCCGACGCCGACGAGCGUGGCCGGCAGGAUGCCGAAGAUGAAGUCGCCGAAGGAGAUGCUGCAGCUCCGAGACGCGCGUCGUGGUGCUCCUGCCACGGGCCGGGCGCGCGAGGACGCUAGGGCUCCUCCCGCUUCUCCUCCAGAGGCCUCCGUCGUGCGCUGCUCCCACGCGAGCCCUGCAUGUCACCCAAGGAGAGGAGAGGAGCGGGUCUAUUAGAAACCGCAGGAGAGGGAGGGGAGGCGCGGAGUGCCGUGCGCGUACGUGGUCGCGGCGGGGCAUGCCUCCAUCUUGGCCGUGGACUGCCUACCUGUGGUCGCCGGGCCGGCGAGACGGUGCGCCGUGCGGCAAAAUCCCAAGCACGGAGUGGUUGGUUCGCUCGGAGCACAUAAGGCUGGGGGAGAACAGGAGGGAGGGAGGAGCUCGAUCUCGUCUAUGGUGAGGGUCGUCGAUGGUGGGCGGCGGCGGAUCGAGAUCUGAGGGAGCGAGAGGGUGACUUGGAGACGGGGAUCUGGGAUCGAGGGGCGCGGGAGAGGCUGGAGCAGCGGCGCUUGGGGGUGGGGGUCGAGCUCCAUCGGAGGGAGGUGGCCGAUGAGCGUAGGAAUGGAGAUGGAGGCCAGGGGCGGGAGGGCGAGGUGUUAUGACUUGGAUUGGAUCUGGGAGGGAGAAGGGGGCAUCGGCGGCUGGAAUGGGAGGCGAUCUGAGUUAGGGUUUGGGUGGUUGGGCUGCGGGUGGGACGAGGGGUGAGAGAGUGAGGGGGUGUGGGCCGUUGGAUCUGGGAGCAUCCGACGGUCUCUGAUGGUUGAUCCACGUGACAUGUCCAUAUACCAAUCAAAAGGAAGUAUAGGCUUUGAUGAUGUUAUGACCAUGUAAAUUGGUCUUAAUCGAUUAACAGUAAGCAAAGAGCUACGAGUCUGCCAGAUGAUUUUGUCUAGAAAUCAUCCGCCUAGCUAGCCGCCCGGUGUGCGCAUUGGGGGUCGUUCGAUCACAUCAAUAUGUCACGACAGCGCCGAGUGUGAAAAAGCUUCAACGCAUGCAGCACCGAUGACAUCCCCACGAAGCUCCAUUACAGCUCUCAACGACAUGUGCUAAGAGCUUCAACGCUGCACCACGGUGCCCGAUGAAGCUCCAUUGCAGCGUCGGGGAGAUCCAACGCAGCACCGCGACGCCCGGCUGUAAGUUCCCUUCUCUUUUUAUGACAAUGUUUAAGUACGGUUCCCUCAAAUAACUAGAGGUAGUUUCAUACUAGGUGGGAUUUUCGUCGAUUCACUAUAAAGCGGGUCAAAUUUUAACUACAGCUACCUCAUCGUUUGUUCAAAUGAUUCCAUAUUUCGCAUAAGUUUGCAUCUUGGAAUUACAAACAAUGUUGCCAAAGGGAUUUUUUAUUUUAUUUUCACGAAAAACAAUUUUCCAUUUUUUGAGUGCCCAAAAUAAGUUUUUUUGUGAAGGACCUACCAUAUAUUUGUUGCAAAAAUGGACCAAAUCAAUUUUAUAAAAUAUUAGGCCAUGUUUAAUGCACAAUUGACCAAAUGGUUGGGUUUCAAAAGUUUCUACCCACCUCUAGUGAAAAAGACAAAUUUCCGCCGAUCCAGCUGGAAGCGGGUCAAGUUUGAAAUGCAGCUGCCUUAUAGUUUGCUCUUUAUUUUUUCCAAAAAUCCUUUCUAGGUACAUAAGUAUAUAUUUAAUCAGAUAAACACCAAAAGUUUCCAAGAUUCAACCACUAUCUAGGAACGGUCAUGCCCGCCGUUUUGACCGCAUUUUGAAACGGGCAUAGAAAAUUCAAAAAAAAUCAAAAAAUGAGAAAACCUUCGGAUUGUGUCAUUAUAUGUGACAAAGGUACCAGAAAAAUAAUAAUCUUGUAAUACGGCAAUUAUUUUUAAAAAGUGUUCUUAGAAAUGAGCUAUCAUGCAUGAAGAUUCAUGGCUUUCAAGCCAAAUAAUCAAUCUUAUGGUGACAUUCAUGACAUAGUUUGUUCAAAUGAUCUCAUAUCAUGCACAAGGGUGCAUCUUGGAAUGGCAAACAAUGUUGCCUAAGGAAGUUUUCAAUUUCUUUGGACAAAAAAUUAAUUUUGUAUUUUUUGAGUGCCCAAAAUGAGUUGUUUUUGUGAAGGACCUACCAUAUAUUUGUUGCAAAAUGGGACCAGGUUAUUUUUAUAAUAUAUUAGGCCAUAUUUAAUGUACAAUUAACAAAAUAGUUGGUUGUCAAAAGUUUUUAUACACCUCUCGUGAAAAAGACAAUUUUCCACCGAUUCAGAUGGAAGCGGGUCAAAUUUGAACUGCAGCUGCCUCACAGUUUGCUCUUUAUUUUUUCUAAAAAUCAUUUGUAGGUACAUAAAUAUCUAUUUAAUCAGAAAUACAUGGGUUGGUGGUGAUACGUUGUGGUUUGGAUUGUGGUCGAGGGCCCCAACUCCAGAGCGCGUAAACUCGCAUGCCCGCCGCAUGGUCACCGCAUGACCGUGGCGUUGCCACGCGUUCUGGGCGGCGUAUGUCUAGUGGGUUGGGCACUCCCCCGGUAGGUGUUAGGAAGAAGAAGGCAAUAGAAGAAUCUCAUGAGGAGACUGAACUGAGCUCAAACAUGAAUUAGCACCCCAAGUAUUUGAUUAGUGGUGUGGAAAAUGCACAUGGCCAAUGGGCCUGAGUUUUGCCCGAGGAUGAUCAUCUAUUAAGGACAUUGUCUUGAAAAAUUUGCAGCUCAAAUGGAGGAGCCUAGGUGUCACUUGCUUUGCAACAUACCACACUGGACAUAAAUAUGAAUGUUGAAGCUAGACUCAAAUGAAUGAAUGGAUUGAUCUGAAAUUUGGAGGAGAAUGAUAAUUUGGGCAUAUGAAGGCACUUUAAAAAUUUCAUACCAUUUGCAUAAAUAAAAAUGGUACUUCUUUCACAGUGCUCUCCACUGGAUAGAAAAAUGGGAAAAAUGCUGAGGGAAAUUGGCUAGAAUAAAUGAGCUAAAAUUUGGUGGAGGGAGGUUCUAUGGGCAGGGUCAUGUCGUGGUAAAUUUUCAGCAAUUAUAAAUUAACAUAAAAUAUAGUUGCUUCACAAACUAAAAAUAUCACUAGAAACUAAGAUUGGAUGGUGAGCUCACAUGGAUUGUUAGAUGGGGCUCAAAUUUUGUGGAUAGCUAUGAUUUGAGAAUAUAGAAGAUCUGGCAAAAAUUCAGCUCAUUGGGAUAUGCCUAGCUAGUACUUCCUUCACAAAUGUUCGAGCUGAACAAAAACUUUGGAAAUUUGCUGAGGAAGAUUUACUAGGCAAAUUGAGUUGAAUAUUGUCAUGAGGCAAUGAUUUGGAUAGUAAAGAAUGCUCAAUUUUUUUGGGAAUUUUGGGAAUGACAGAAAUAUAGGGUGCUUCACAACCUAGGGCAAAAAUUGACACAUAGACAUGACACAUAGGCAAAACUGAUGAGGUGGCGCCUAGUCGUAGGAAUGCACCACAAUUUACAAGGCUAUGACCAUCUAUAUUGGUCGUUAUCAGCUAGAAAUAAGGCAGCAGACCAGUGUUGUUUGCUUUACGACCAUUUUGUGUAAGGAAAUUAUGACCUUUUUGACCAAAAUGGUCGUUAUGGUUUAGGGUUUGGAGCCCACAGAAUAGCUUUUGGCCAAUUGGUCUCAAAUGGUCAUACAUUUAUGACCAAUUCUUCCAGGGUCACUGACAGAAGGUCACAAUUUGACAUAUUUCUUGUAGUGAGGACCAGGAGAAAACAUCUUUCAUCACGCCCUUUAGAGCUUUCUGCUAUGUGUCUAUGCCUUUUGGGCUCAAGAGUACCUAGGCGACUUAUCAGUAUUGUGUUCAAAAUUGCCUUCACAACCAGAUAGGACGCAAUAUUCAUGCUUAUCUGGAUGAUAUUGUUGUGAAGUCUAGAAAGAAGGAGACCUUGCUAGAUGAUUUGAAGGAGACCUUUGAUAACCUCCGGGUCUACAAGAUGAUGCUUAACCCGGCCAAAUGGGUUUUUGGUGUGCCUGCAGGCAAGCUCUUGGGUUUUCUGGUCUCCAAGAGAGGUAUUGAAGCUAACCUGAAGAAAAUAAAGGCUAUCACUUCAUUAGCUAAGCUGGCGUGUGUUAAUGAUGUCCAGCGUUUGGCGGGUCGUAUUGCGGCUUUAAGCCGGUUUAUAAGCCUCCUAGGAGAGAAGGCUAUUCCUCUGUACCAGAUGAUGAAUAAAACAGAUCACUUUGUCUGGAGUGAUGCUGCUAAUGAGGCAUUCGAGGCACUUGAAAAACAAUUAGCUGAGCCACCAGUUCUUGUAGCUCCUGUUGGUCAGGUGCUUCAGCGACUCAGAUUUGGUGGCUCAGCAAGUCUCAGGAACUUGGGAUUCUAAGGACCCGCUCAUGGUGGCUUAUUGCCGGGCGGUUGACAGUAUUGCUGGUCAUUUCAAGGGUUAUCAAGUGGAACAUGUUGAUCGUAGAAAGAUUGAGGCGGGUGAUGCUUUAAGCCGGCUAGGGUCUCAGCGUAAGCCGGUACCACCAAAUGUUUUUCUUGAUAUAUUAAAUAACCCUUCAGUUUAGCUACCAACAGAGGAGGAUCUUGCAAUCCCUGACCUGGAGGCACAGUUGGUGGCGGCUCUUCAUGCCAUCCCUGAUUGGACAGUUCCUUAUGUGGCUUAUAUGACCUGGGGAGAGUUACCUGAGGAUGAAACUUUGGCUAGGCAAAUAACCCGACGGUCUAAGUCGAUGACUAUUGUCAAUGGCGAGUUACACCGAUUCAGUGCCACAGGUGUGUUCCAGCGCUGUGUUUCUCCUGAAGAGGGCCGUGAGAUUCUAAGGGAGAUUCAUGAAGGAGAUUGUGGCCAUCACGCUGGCUCUAAAUCUCUUGUGGCUAAAGCUUUUCGUCAUGGGUUUUAUUGGUUGACGGCUCAUGCUGAUGCAGAAGAUCUAGUUAGCAAGUGUGACAACUGUCAGAAAUUUUCUAGACGAGCUCAUGUGCCCGCUCAAGAAUUGAGGAUGAUUCCAAUUGCUUGGCCGUUUGCAGUCUCGUGGCUGGAUAUGGUUGGACCUUUCAAGAGAUUCAAGGAAAAAGAGACCCAACUCUUGGUGGCGGUUGACAAGUUUACCAAGUGGGUUGAGGUAGAGCCGGUCAGCAAGUGUGAUGCGGCAACGGCAGUUCAAUUCAUUAAUAAGGUGAUCUUCUAUUUUGGCUACCCUCAUAGUAUCAUAACUGAUAAUGGCACUAAUCUUUCUAAGGGUGCUAUGAAAGAGUUAUGUCAACGGGAGCAUAUUCGUCUUGAUGUCUCAUCAGUGGCUCACCCCCGGUCCAAUGGUCAAGCUGAAAAGGGUCAAUCAAGAAAUCUUGAGAGGGAUAAAACCCCGGCUUAUGGUCCCUUUCCGGAGAACGCCGGGUGGCCGGGUUGAGGAAUUACCCUCAGUACUUUGGAGUAUUAAUACCACCCCCAACAGAUACACAGGCUACACGCCCUUCUUCAUGGUCUACGGGGCAGAGGCGGUUCUUCCAAGUGAUAUCCGUCAUGACUCGCCCCGGGUGGUGGCUUAUGUUCAAGCUAUCAAUGAAAAGGCACGUCAGGAUGCUCUUGAUAUGUUGGAUGAGGAGCGUGACCUUGCGGUGGCUCGUUCGGCGAUAUACCAGCAAGAUUUGCGUCGCUAUCAUAGCCGCUGGAUUAAAAUCCGGACCUUUCAAGAAGGUGACUUGGUGCUUGAUGACCCACAAGUAUGGGGAUCUAUCGUAGUCCUUUCGAUAAGUAAGAGUGUCGAACCCAACGAGGAGCACAAGGAAAUGACAAGCGGCUUUCGGUAAGGUAUUCUCUGCAAGCACUGAAAUUAUCAAUAACAGAUAGUUUUGUGAUAAGGUAAUUCGUAAUGGGUAACAAGUAACAAGUGUAAAUAAAGUGCAGCAAGGUGGCCCAAUCCUUUUUGUAGCAAAGGACAAACCUAGACAAACUCUUAUAUAAAGGAAAGCGCUCCCGAGGACACAUGGGAAUUAUCGUCAAGCUAGCUUUCAUCACGCUCAUAUGAUUCGCGUUCGUUACUUUGAUAAUUUGAUAUGUGGGUGGACCGGUGCUUGGGUGCUGCCCUUCCUUGCACAAGCAUCCCACUUAUGAUUAACUACUCUCGCAAGCAUCCGCAACUACUAAAGAAGAAUUAAGGUAAAUCUAACCAUAGCAUGGAACAUAUGGAUCCAAAUCAGCCCCUUACAAAGCAACGCAUAAACUAGGGUUUAAGCUUCUAUCACUCUAGCAACCCAUCAUCUACUUAUUACUUCCCAAGGCCUUCCCCUAGGCCCAAAUAAUGAUGAAGUGUCAUGUAGUCGAUGUUCACAUGACACCACUAGAGGAAAGAUAACAUACAUCUUAUCAAAAUAUCGAAUGAAUACCAAAUUCACAUGACUACUUAUAGCAAGACUUCUCCCAUGUCCUCAGGAACAAACAUGACUACUCACAAAUCAUAUUCAUGUUCAUAAUCAGAGGGGUAUUAAUAUGCAUUAAGGAUCUGAACAUAUGAUCUUCCACCGAAUAAACCAACUAGCAUCAACUACAAUGAGUAAUCAACACUACUAGCAACCCACAGGUACCAAUCUGAGGCUUUGAGACAAAGAUCGGAUACAAGAGAUGAACUAGGGUUUGAGAGGAGAUGGUGCUGGUAAAGAUGUUGAUGGAGAUUGACCCCCUCCUGAUGAGAGGAUCGAUGGUGUUGACGAUGGCGACGAUUUCCCCCUCUCGGAGGGAUGUUUCCCCGGCAGAACAGCUCCGCCGGAGCCCUAGAUUGGUUCCGCCAAGGUUCCGCCUUGAGACGGCGGCGCUUCGUCCCGAAAGCUUCCCUCUUAUUUUUUCUUGUACGAAAGACUUCAUAUAGCAGAAGAUGGGCACCGGAAGCCUGCCAGGGGGCCCACGAGACAGGGGGCGCGCCUAGGGGGGUAGGGCGCGCCCCCACCCUCGUGGCCAGGGUGUGGGCCCCCUCUUGUUGAUUCUUUUGCCAGUAUUUUUUAUAUAUUCCAAAACGUGCCUCCGUGAAGUUUCCAGACUUUUGGAGUUGUGUAGAAUAGGUGUCUAAAUCUAAUAUUUGCUCCUUUUCCAGCCCGGAAUUCCAGCUGCCGGCAUUCUCCCUCUUGAUGUAAAUCUUGUAAAAUAAGAGAGAAAAGGCAUAAGUAUUGUGACAUAUUGUGUAAUAACAGCCCAUAAUGCAAUAAAUAUCAAUAUAACAGCAUGAUGCAAAAUGGAUGUAUCAACUCCCCCAAGCUUAGACCUUGCUUGUCCUCGAGCAGAAGUCGAUAUUGAAAAAUGUGUCCACAUGUUUAGAGAUAGAGGUGUCGAUAAAAUAAAAUUCGAACAUGAGGGCAUCAUGAUCAUUCUUAGAACAACAACAUAUAUUUAUAUUAUCAUAUGAUUUCUUAUGCUGAAGUAAUAAUCUAUUCACAAUGCAAAGUAUGACUCAGAAACUUCAUAAAAACUAACAAACUAUAAUCACGAUCAAUGAAGCAAUUGCAAUUUAUCAUAACAUCGAAAAGAGUCAAUGUAAGAGCUUUUCAGCAAGUCCACAUACUCAACUAUCAUUUAAUUCACAAUUGCUAACACUCAAGCAAUACUUAUGGGUAUGGAGUUUCAAUCGGACAUAGAGAAAGAUAGGGGCUUAUAGUGUUGCCUCCCAACCUUUUACCUCAAGGGUAAUGUCAACAAUAAUAGUUCAUUCUAACUUACAUCCAAUUGGAUAUAUGUAUAUCAGGAUCUUUCCAACACAAUGUGCUUGCCAAAGGAUAAAAUGUAAAAAGGAAAGGUGAAGAUCACCAUGACUCUUGUAUGAAGGUAUAAGACAAAAAUAAAAGAUAGGCCCUUCGCAGAGGGAAGCAGAGGUUGUCAUGUGCUUUUGGGGUUAGAUGCACAAAAUCUUAAUGCGAAAUAACGUCACUUUAUAUUGCCACUUGUGAUAGGGGCCUUUAUUAUGUAGUCCGUCGCGUUUAGUGCUUCCAUAUCACAAGAUCGUAUAAAGCUUAUUUUCUCCACACUAAUAAAUCAUACAUAUUUAAGGAGAAAUUUUUAUUGCUUGCACAAUGACAACUUAGUUGAAGGAUCUUACUCAAUCCAUAGGUAGAUAUGGUGGAUUCUCAUGGCAAAGCUGGGUUUAAGGAAUGUUUGGAAGCACAAGUAGUAUCUCUACUUGGUGCAAAGAAUUUGGCUAGCAUGAGGGGGAAAGGCAAGCUCAAUAUGUUGGAUGAUCCAUGAUAUUAUACUUUAUUUCGGAUAUGAGAAAAAUAACCCAUUACGUUGUCUUCCUUGUCCAACAUCAACUUUUAGCAUGUCAUAUUUCAAUGAGUGCUCACAAUCAUAAAAGAUGCCAAGAUAGUAUAUUUAUAUGUGAAAACCUCUCUUUCUUUAUUACUUCCUAUUAAUUGCAACAAUGACCAAAACUAUGUUUGUCAACUCUCAACAACUUUUAUUCAUCAUACUCUUUACAUGUGAAGUCAUUACUCUCCAUAAGAUCAAUAUGAUCUCUUUAUUUCUUUUUAUUCUUUCUUUUUCUAUUAUUCCCUUAAGAUCAUAUCAAGAUAACCAAGCCCUUGACUCAAGACUAAUCUUUAUUAUAUAUAGCUCACGGACUUGAUUACAUAGAAGGAUCAUAAAGCAAAACUCAAAACUAAACCAUACUAAAAACUUUAUUCUACUAGAUCAAGAUAUAACCAAAAGGAUCAAACUAAGAAAAAUGGUAAAAAUGGUGAUACGAUACCGGGGAACCUCCCCCAAGCUUGGCAGUUGCCAAGGGGAGUGCCCAUACCCAUGUGUUUGUCUCCUUCUUCGGAGGUGGUGAUGAUGGAGUUUUUGAUGAUGUAGGCUUGUUGUCCAUCUUCCAAGGCAUAGGCUCACCAUCAUAGAAGGAUAAUCAGGUCUCCAGGAUCCUCAAAUCUGCAGCCAAACUCAUCCUCUUGAAUCUAUAUUCAUACUCACAGUUUUGGUUUUGCAGGUCAUAGAUCUGGGCCUGGAGGUGCUCUAUUUUCUCGUGAAGCUUGAAGAUGGUCUCCCCAAUGUUCUUGACAUCUAGCUUGUGGUUGUUGGUGAACUCCGUGAUCAUUAUGUGGUUGGCGUCGAGUCCGCGUUCCACCAUCUCCUGGCACUUGAAAACUUGUUGCUCCAUUGCUUCGAGCCUUGUCUCCGUGCUUCCGGUCCUCCUUGGUCCCUCAACAUCGCGGAUGUGCAGCAACCACUCACGCAUCUCAAUGGUUGGAGGAUGUUGCAGCACUUCCGCGAGGUAGGGGUUGAUGACCUUCUCGAAGAACUUGUCCUUGGGGGCGCUUGGAGACGUCAUGGUGCUCUAGAUCUGUCAGAAAAACAGCUCGAAACAAAAGCAGAGGAUUUUAUCGUGGCACGGUGGUCAAAACCUUCGGGAGAUUAUAUAAUGAAUUUUUACCGACCAAAAGAAGUAUCGUGCAAGAAAACAGAGUCCAGAGGGUACACGAGGUGUCCACGAGGCAGGGGGCGCGCCCUCCACUCUCGUGGAUGCCUCGUGUCCCUUUGAGACUACUUCUUAUUUUCCUAUUUUCUUAAAUAUUCCAAAACGGAGAAAAUUUACCAUUAGAACUGUUUUGGAGUCGGUUUACUUACCGUACCUCAUACCUAUUCCUUUUUGGAGUCUGAAACGUUCUGGAAAGUGCCCCUUAUGUAUUCCUCCAGGGUUACAGUUUCAAUAACAUUAGUUUCAACAUUUAUGGGGUUACCUAAGAUAUAAUGUUUGAUUCUUUGAUCGUUCACCACCUUCGGAUUUGUGCCUUCGAAGUUGUUGAUUUUUAUGGCACCGGAACGAUAGACCUCCUCGAUAACGUAAGGGCCUUCCCAUUUAGAGAGAAGUUUUCCUGCAAAAAAUCUUAACCGAGUUGUAUAGCAAAACAUAAUCACCUACAUUAAACUCGCGCUUUUGUAUCCUUUUGUCAUGCCAUCUUUUAACUUUUUCUUUAAACAGUUUGGCAUUCUCAUAGGCUUGAGUUCUCCAUUCAUGAAGUGAGCUAAUGUCAAAUAGUCUCUUCUCACCGGCAAGUUUGAAAUCAUAAUUGAGCUCUUUAAUGGCCCAAUAUGCUUUAUGUUCUAGUUUAAGAGGUAAGUGACAUGCUUUUCCAUAAACCAUUUUAUAUGGAGACAUACCCAUAGGAUUUUUAUAUGCAGUUCUAUAGGCCCAUAAUGCAUCAUCAAGUUUCUAGGACCAAUUCUUUCUAGAUCUAUUAACAGUCUUUUGCAAAAUUAAGUCUAGCUCUCUGUUACUCAAUUCUACUUGACCACUAGACUGCGGGUGGUAUGGAGAUGCAAUUCUAUGGUUAACAUCAUACUUAGCAAGCAUUUUACGAAAAGUACCGUGAAUAAAAUGUGAACCACCAUCAGUCAUUAAGUAUCUAGGGACUCCAAACCUCGGGAAAAUAACCUCUUUAAGCAUCUUAAUAGAAGUGUUAUGAUCAACACUACUAGUUGGAAUAGCUUCUACCCACUUAGGAACGUAAUCAACAGCAACUAAAAUAUCUGUAUACCCAUUAGAGGAAGGAAAUGGCCCCAUAUAAUCGAAGCCCCAAACAUCAAAUGGUUCAAUAACAAGUGAAUAGUUCAUAGGCAUUUUUUUACGUCUACUAAUAUUACCAAUUCUUUGGCAUUCAUCACAAGACAAGACAAACUUACGGGCAUCCUUGAAGAGAGUAGGCCAAUAAAAAACGGAUUGCAAUACCUUAUGUGCAGUUCUAUCUCCAGCGAGGUGUCCUCCAUAAGCCUCGGAGUGACACUUGCGUAGGAUCUGUUCCUGUUCAUGCUCAGGUACACAACAUCUAAUAAAACCAUCUACUCCUUCUUUAUAAAGGUGUGGGUCAUCCCAGAAGUAAUGUCUUAAAUCAUAGAAAAACUUUUUCUUUUGCUGGUAUGUGAAACUAGGUGGUAUAAAUUUAUCAACAAUGUAAUUAGCAUAAUCAGCAUACCAUGGAGUAGUACGAGAAGCAUUUAUGACAGCCAAUUGUUCAUCACGAAAGCUAUCAUCUAUAGGUAGUGGGUCAUCAAGAACAUUCUCUAACCUAGACAAGUUGUCUGCAACGGGGUUCUCAGCUCCCUUUCUAUCAAUGAUAUGCAAGUCAAAUUCUUGUAGUAGGAGAACCCAUCUAAUAAGUCUAGGUUUAGCAUCUUUCUUUUUCAUAAGAUAUUUAAUAGCAGCAUGAUCAGUGUGAACAGUUACUUUAGAGUCAACAAUGUAAGGUCUGAACUUAUCACAAGCAAAUAGAACUGCUAAAAAUUCUUUUUCAGUAGUAGCAUAAUUUCUUUGGGCACUGUCUAAAGUUUACUAGCAUAUUGGAUAACACUUAAUUUCUUAUCAACUCUUUGUCCUAGAACAACACCUACAGCAUAAUCACUAGCAUCACACAUAAUUUCAAAGGGUAAAUUCCAAUCAGGAGGCUGAACAAUAGGUGCAGAAAUCAAAGCUUUCUUGACUAUUUCAAAUGCUUCUACACAAUCAUCAUAAAAAACAAAAGGAAUAUAUUUUUGUAAGAGAUUAGUCAAAGGCCUAGAAAUUUUUGAGAAGUCUUUAAUGAACCUCCUAUAAAAACCGGCAUGACCAAGGAAAGUUCUUAUACCUUUAAUGUCCUUAGGACACGGCAUCUUUUCAAUAGCAUCAACUUUAGCUUUAUCAACUUCAAUACCUCUUUCAGAAACUUUAUGCCCCAAGACAAUACCUUCAUUAACCAUAAAGUGGCACUUCUUCCAAUUCAAGACAAGAUUAGUUUCUUCACAUCUAUGCAAAACUCGACCGAGGUUGCUCAAGCAAUCAUCAAAAGAAGAUCCAUAAACGAAGAAAUCAUCCAUGAAAACCUCAACAAUCUUUUCACAAAAAUCAGAGAAUAUGGCCAUCAUGCAUCUUUGAAAGGUAGCAGGUGCAUUACAUAAACCAAAAGGCAUACGCCUAUAAGCAAAAGUACCAAAAGGGCAAGUAAAAGUGGUCUUUUCCUGGUCCUCUUUUGACACAGGUAUUUGAGAGAAACCAGAGUAACCAUCUAGAAAGCAAAAAUGUGUAUGUUUGGAUAAUCUUCCUAGCAUUUGAUCAAUAAAAGGUAAAGGGUAAUGAUCCUUUUUAGUAGCUUUAUUUAAUUUGCUGAAAUCAAUUACCAUCCUAUAAUCUAUAACAAUUCUUUGUGGGAUCAAUCCAUCUUUAUCAUCAGGAGCAAGAUUAAUACCUCCCUUCUUAGGGACACAAUGGACAUGGCUUACCCACUGACUAUCAACAACAGGAUAAAUUAUACCUGCCUCCAGAAGCUUUAGUAUUUCUUUUCUUACCUCUUCUUUCAUCUUAGGAUUUAACCAUCGUUGGUUAUCAACAACCGGUUUAGCGUCUUUCUCCAAUUUUAUUUUAUGUUGGCAUAGAGUGGGACUAAUGCCCUUAAGAUCAUCAAGAGUAUAUCCAAUAGCAGCACGGUGCUUCUUCAGAGUUUUCAAUAAUUUCUUUUCUUCAUGCUCUGAAAGUUUAGCACUAAUAAUAACAGGAUAUAUCUUAUUUUCAUCAAGAUAAGCAUAUUUAAGGCUAUCAGGUAAUGGUUUAAGCUCAAACACGGGAUCACCCUUGGGUGGAGGAGGAUCCCCUAGGAUUUCAACAGGCAAGUUGUGUUUCAAAAUAGGUCCCUAUUUAAAGAAUGCUUCAUCUAUUUCCCUUCUUUCAUUCAUAAACAUAUCAUUUUCAUGGUCUAGCAAAUAUUGUUCUAAAGGAUCAUUAGGAGGCAUGGCAAUAGAAGCAAGACCAAUAAUUUCAUCCUUAUUAGGCAAUUCUUUAUCAUGGGAUUGUCUACGAAAUUUAACAAAAUUAAAGUCAUGAGACAUAUCCCCUAAACCAAUCGUAACAAUAUCCUUUUUGCAGUCUAUCUUAGCAUUAACAGUAUUCAAGAAGGGUCCACCAAAUAUAAUGGGACAAAAGUCAUCUUGUGGGGAACCAAGAACAAGAAAAUGAGUAGGAUAUUUAAUUUUCCCACACAAGACUUCAACCUCUCUAACAAUCCCAACUGGUGAAAUAGUAUCUCUAUUGGCAAGCUUAAUUGUAACAUCAAUAUCUUCUAACUCAGCAGGCGCAAUAUCAUGCAUAAUUUCUUCGUAUAAAGAAUGAGGUAUUGCACUCGCACUAGCACCCAUAUCACAUAAGCCAUGAUAGCAAUGAUCUCCAAUUUUAACAGAAAUAACAGGCAUGCCUACAACAGGUCUAUGUUUAGUUUUAGUAUCGGGUCUAGCAAUUCUAGCAGCUUCAUCACAGAAGUAACUAACAUGCCCAUCAAUAUUAUCAACCAAGAGAUCUUUAACCAUAGCAAUACUAGGUUCAAUUUUAAUUUGCUCAGGGGGUGUAGGUGUUCUAGUAUUACUCUUACGAACCACAGUUGAAGCUUUAGGAUGAUCCUUUAUUCUAACAGUAAAUGGUGGUUUCUCAAUAUAAGCGGUAGGAAUAAUAGGAUCAACAUUAAUAGGUUCAACUACCUUUACUUUAAUGGGAGGAUGAUAUUUAAACCACUUCUCCUUAGGGAGAUCAACAUAAGUAGCAAAUGAUUCACAUAAAGUAUCUACUAUCUCUCAAGUCCAUAUUUAGUGCUAAAUUCACGGAAAACAUCGGUAUCCAUAAAAGAUUUAACACAAUCAAACUUAGGUGUUAUACCUGACUCCUUACCUUCGUCGAGAUCCCAAUCUUCAGAGUUGCAUUUAAUUCUUUCCAAUAAAUCCCAUCUGAAUUCAAUAGUCUUCAUCAUAAAAGAACCAGUACAAGAAGUAUCGAGCAUGGAGCGAUUGUUAAGAGAAAGCCGAGCAUAAAAAUUUUGAAUAGUAAUUUCUCUUGAGAGCUCAUGAUUGGGGAAUAUAACAUUGACUUCAGCCUCCCCCAAGCUUGAGCGAUGCUUUCUCCUUUGUGAGGCCAAAAAUUAUAUAUAUAAUUACGAUCACGAUGAACAAGAUGCAUAGGAUAAAACUUUUGAUGAAAUUCCAAUUUUAAUCUAUUGUAGUUCCAUGAUCCCAUAUCAUCACAUAGCCUAAACCAUGUCAAUGCCUUUCCCUUCAAAGAUAAAGGGAAGACCUUCUUCUUGAUAACAUCCUCGGGAAUACCUGCAAGCUUAAAUAAUCCACAACCUUCAUCAACAUAGAUUAGGUGCAAAUCGGGAUGCAAUGUUCCAUCUCUUGUAAAGGGAUUAGCUAGCAGUUUCUCUAUUAUACCCGAAGGAAUUUCAAAGUAAACAUUUUCAGUGGGUUCAGUAGGUUGAGGAGCAACUCUUUGCUCUACUGGUCGGGGUGAAGAUACCCCGAACAAGCCCCUCAAAGGAUUACUUUCCAUAGUAACAAGUGACAGUAAAUUUCAGCACACUAUAUAAAUUUUUCCUUACCAAAGGCACUUCACUCCCCGCCAACGGUGCCAGGAAAGAGUCUUGAUGACCCACAAGUAUAGGGGAUCUAUAUAAGUCCUUUUGAUAAGUAAGAGUGUCGAACCCAACGAGGAUCACAAGGAAAUGACAAGUGGCUUUCAGUAAGGUAUUCUCUGCAAGCACUGAAAUUAUCGGUAACAGAUAGUUUUGUGACAAGGUAAUUCAUAACGGGUAACAAGUAACAAGUGUAUAUAAAGUGCAGCAAGGUGGCCCAAUCCUUUUUGUAGCAAAGGACAAACCUGGACAAACUCUUAUAUAAAGGAAAGCGCUCCCGAGGACACAUGGAAAUUGUCGUCAAGCUAGUUUUCAUCAUGCUCAUAUGAUUCGCGUUCGUUACUUUGAUAAUUUGAUAUGUGGGUGGACCGGUGCUUGGGUGCUGCCCUUCCUUGGACAAGCAUACCACUUAUGAUUAACUACUCUUGCAAGCAUCCGCAACUACGAAAUAAGAAUUAAGGUAAACCUAACCAUAGCUUGAAACAUAUGGAUCCAAAUCAGCCCCUUACAAAGCAACGCAUAAACUAGGGUUUAAGCUUCUGUCACUCUAGCAACCCAUCAUCUACUUAUUACUUCCCAAAUCCUUCCCCUAGGCCCAAAUAAUGAUGAAGUGUCAUGUAGUCGAUGUUCACAUGACACCACUAGAGGAAAGACGACAUACAUCUUAUCAAAAUAUCGAACGAAUACCAAAUUCACAUGACUACUUAUCGCAAGACGUCUCCCAUGUCCUCAGGAACAAACGUGACUACUCACAAAUCAUAUUCAUGUUCAUAAUCAGAGGGGUAUUAAUAUGCAUUAAGGAUCUUAACAUAUGAUCUUCCACCGAAUAAACCAACUAGCAUCAACUACAAGGAGUAAUCAACACUACUAGCAACCCACAGGUACCAAUCUAAGGCUUUGAGACAAAGAUCGGAUACAAGAGAUGAACUAGGGUUUGAGAGGAGAUGGUGCUGGUGAAGAUGUUGAUCGAGAUUGACCCCCUCCCGAUGAGAGGAUCGAUGGUGAUGACAAUGGUGAAGAUUUCCCCCCUCGGAGGGAUGUUUCCCCGGCGGAACAGCUCCGCCGGAGCCCUAGAUUGGUUCUGCCAAGGUUCCGCCUCGAGACGGUGGCGCUUCGUCACGAAAGCUUCCCUCUUAUUUUUUCUUGGACGGAAGACUUCAUAUAGCAGAAGAUGGGCACCGGAAGCCUGCUAGGGGGGCCACGAGACAGGGAGGUGCGCCCAAGGGGUAGGGCACGCCCCCACCCUCGUGGCCAGGGUGUGGGCCCCCUCUAGUUCAUUCUUUUGCCAGUAUUUUUUAUAUAUUCCAAAACGUGCCUCUGUGAAGUUUUAGGGCUUUUGGAGUUGUGCAGAAUAGGUCUCUAAUAUUUGCUCCUUUUCCAGCCCAGGAUUCCAACUGCCGGCAUUCUCCCUCUUCAUGUAAAUCUUGUAAAAUAAGAGAGAAAAGGCAAUAGUAUUUUGACAUAAUGUGUAAUAAUAGCCCAUAAUGCAAUAAAUAUCGAUAUAAAAGCAUGAUGCAAAAUGGACUUAUCAGUGCUCCAGCUCAUCCAAGAUCAAACAGAUAUGCAUAAGUUGUCACCACCUUGGGAAGGACCUUUUGUGGUCAGCAAGAACCUGAACAACGGGUCAUAUUACCUCAUUGAUAUUCGAGACCACAAGGACUCAUGCACAUCGGAGGAGGAGACCCGUCGGCCUUGGAACAUUGCUCAUCUUCGGCCUUAUACACCUGAGCCACCGACUCUUGUGAUGUACAUAGUUUCUUCAGUGUACAUAUUAUGAUCACUAUAAUAAAGCCGGCAUCCUUGAUAAGUCAGGGCCUCUGUCAUUUCCAUUAUAAAGUGUCUGAGCCUUUAUUAGUUGUUCAUAAGGUCAAUUAGGGGCAACCUGCCCAAUGAGCAGAGCCUUGAUUACCCUCUUGAUCCGGCUUACAUGUCGUCUCAUUGGUCACAUAGGGGCUACCUGCUCAAUGAGCAGAGCCUUGAUUACCCUCUUGAUCCGGCUUAAAUGUCGUUUCUUUGGUCACUUGGGGGCUACCUGCGCAAUGAGCAGAGCCUUGAUUACCCUCUUGAUCUGGCUUACAUGUCGUCUCAUUGGUCAUUUGGGGGCUACCUGCUCAAUGAGCAGAGCCUUGAUUACCAUCUUGAUGGGCUUACAUGCCAGGUGUAAACACCAAAUUUCGGGUUAACCGACCUGUAUGUCGUUGCUACUCCGCCCAGGUAAUCCUGAAAUGACCCGUCGUGUUCUUAACAGUCAAUCUUUCAAAUAAGACCCUUAACUCGUUAAAGUUAAAUUGGCGGUUUGUCAUGUGAGGGCCGGCUUACAGGUGUGCUGUAAAAUAACUCGGUGGCUGUGCGGCCCAUGAAAGCACUUUGAAGAUUUAGGCUUGGCGGCCUAUGAAAGCCUUGUGUUUCUAAUUUGCUAUUUUUCUAACAAUUUUGGAUUCAUAUCCUUCUUCCAUAUUAAUAUAUGGUUUUCACAAUUCAGGCCAUGUAGCCUUGAUUCUAUGACUCAUAUUUGAGCAUAUUGGGUUAAUAACCUGCCCUGAUAAGCAGACUUUAAGUCGCUCAGAUGAUUCGUCUUGAAUAAAUUCAAGUCAUGAUAAUUCAUGUUUACGGGUUAAUACCCAUGCUGGAUUAAAAUCAUUACAGUGUCAUCAUGAUAUCAGUCUAUAGGAAGUAUGAUGAUGUUUCAUAUGAUUCACAUAACUGAUAAUAUUAUACGCACAAGUGGCAGGUGAUAAAAAUCAAGCAUGGCGGUUUAAACAUUCAAAGGAUAUCACAUGCACGAUGGCAUAGCAGAUCAUUGUUUCAACUAGCCUAUUACAAGGCUUUCCAAAGCCCAAAUGAUUAAGAGUUUUUCAAAGACAAGUGCCACACCGCGAUCUAAGAGUCGCCCCUUGGAUCAGUUGUUUUGGUCUUGAUGAGUUGAAGCUUCCGGAUUAUCCUGCACCAUUUCUUCUUCUUCCUCCACCGUCUGGAAGUCAGGUGAUGACCAGUCGAUGCCAGUUAAAGCUUUGAACACAGCUUCAUCAUCCAUAAGGGUGGCUGGAUCAACAUCAGGAGCAAAAGUGUGCUUACGCAUUGGAGGGAUGAGCUCCAUCACUUCAUAAGCCGGCACAUUCACUUUUGAGUUAUCCAUUGUAUAAGCUGCCUGAUAUUUGGACAAAUCAGUUUCUUCGGCCAAUUUGCUCACCAAAGGUCGCAUCUCCUUGACGCACUUGGUAAAAUCUGCUUCUUCAAAAGGCGAUCCAUCCUCUUUAAAGCUUGGACAUCCGGUGGCCAACUCCAUAGGGUCUAGUUCCGCUUGCCAUGCUUUGGCCCAGCUCAAAGCAGUGAUGGCGCCAGCUCGGGAGGAUGAUCGCUUAAUUUCUUCAAUUCUCUUGGGUAUGACAGAUAAUUUGUCUAGUACCUCCCUGAUGAGUGAAGGUGGUUGUUUACUGUGCGAGAUGGCUGCUAUGUUUUGCUGAGUGCCUGUAUACAGCUGCUCCACGAGAGUGUAAACCGCCUUCAGCUUCACCAACAUGUCUUGGUCAAGGUUGGCACUCCUAGGGCCUGUUGAAUAAGUGCACAGAUAAGUCGUCGGACAGAUUAAAUUGGAAGUGCUCGAAACAUCUUGAAUUACUUACCAAAGGUAGCAGCUUCAUCUGGGAUAUAUAGCGUUUUAAGCCGGUCAAUUCUGCAACAGUCUCUUUCCAAGAGGAUUCGGCAGUCUCUGCUCUUUGUACCAAGAUGGCCUUCUCAUUAUCCCAGGCGGUUCUUUCUGUUGAGAAUCCAGCUUUGAGCUUCUCGCUUUCUUCCAGACUAAGUUUAAGCUUAGAGUUAGCUUGGCGUGUUUCAUCCUCUUGUUGCUCAAGACUGGUCUUUAAAUUGACCACCUGGGACUCAGCCUGAGUUAAGGCAUCUUGCAAGUAAGAGUUAAGACGAUAUAAACAUAUUUGUCAAGAUACAAUCUAUGUACAAGUCUCAAGCACGUUGCAAGCAGAGCACUUGACACUUGGGGGCUAAUGUGUGUGAAAGUUUUUCUUCACAUUUAUAUUUUUUGAUCUGACUCAUCUUUAUCAAGAUAAGCCGGCCCGUGAGGGUUAUGGUCUGGAGUUUUUUCAAAUACUGGAAAUGACUCGGUUCAUUUUUAUCAAGAUAAGCCGGCUCAUGAGGGUUAUGACUUUAGAGCUUGCAGAAACAUAUGGACAAGUCCUAACCUUACUCAAAUAUAUCUUUUCCUACGAAUAAUACUUGGGGGCUGGAUGACUAUAUAUGCAGAGGAAACAGAUGUGGAGCACCGGUGCCAGCUCGUGACAAGGCCAGCUGCCAUAUCAUGCACCGGCCGAUGCACGACGCGCGCGCCUCCCGUGCUGCUGCGUCAGCUUCAAGACCGAGCUGUCCAAGAAGCCGCGUCGCAUGCAUGCCAGGACCGCACUGCUCCAGCGCGAGGCGCGCCCGUGAGCGCCGCGGGCUGUCGUGCCUUCACCCGUGAGCUGCGCCGGGUGGUGUGGCUGGCCAAGUUCAAGCUGGAGCUGCCCCCGCGCUACGACGGCGUCCCCGACCCUACGGAGUUUCUCCAGCUCUAUGCGUUGAGCAUCAAGGCGGUGAACGACGAUGACAAGGUCAUAGCAAACUGGUUUCCCGUGGCUCUCAAGGACGGCGCGCGUUCCUGGUUCAUUAACCUGCCUGAGGGAUCGAUCUCCUCAUGGGACGAGCUUCGCGAGCGAUUCAUUGCCAACUUCCAAGGCACCCACGACCGCGCCCUCACCAUCAACGACUUGCGGCGCAUGAAGCAGCGCCCUGGCAAGACCCUUCACAAGUACAUUCAAUGUUUCACCCAGGUUCGCCUCAAGAUCCCAAAGGCCUCGGAUUAAACCAUCAUCUCGGCAUUCACCGACGGUAUCACAGACGCCAGGAUGAGUGAGAAGCUCACCAUCAACGACGACCUAUGCACGACACUGGAGUUGUUUAACCUGGCCGACAAGUGCGCGAAGGUGGAAGAAGGCCGCCUCGCUCUCCUCGGCAACCCCGAUGUCGAGCCCGAAUACAAGAAGGCCAAGUCCAAGGAAGUGAAGCGCAAGGGCCCCACCGUGUUGGUGGCGGAGCCAGAGCUGAAGCACGGCCGCGACCAUGAUGAGCUCAGCAAGGACAGCCGCCUCUUUUGUGUCUACCACAACGUGCGCACCCAUAACACCGAUGAUUGUCAGGAGCUCAGGGCGCCCCGAACGCAACAACCAUGGCUCCGGCCGUGUAGGAGGCCGCGGUGAGGGCCGAUCACUAGUGGAAAAAAGCCUAGCUAUGGCGUGCAAAAAACAGCCUUGCUGGUGUAGGAGCCCCACGCCACCAAUAUGGCGCUAGUGUUAAAAAAUAGUGGUGGCGCUGGAGCCUACGUCAACACUAUUAUGUAUACUAAUGGCGUUGGAUUUAACCACACGACGGAAUUAUCAACAAUAGCUAUGGUGCUUGAUACAGUUCAAUGACAGUAAUAAGAUAAAUGAAUCUCUGGCGUCGCGCAAUGUCCGACGCCAGUACUAGGUUUUUGAAAGAUGUAAAAAAAUACUACCAGGGCAGCAGAAAACCGCUGCCACGGCAGCGUCGUUUAUGACAAAUUUAUAUAAACACGUUUUUGUCCCACAUUGAUUUCGACAAGAUAGUUGCAUUAAUAUAUACACACACAUCGUUUAUUCACAUGCGUACAUAUAUUAACCACACACUACUAGCUAUAUAGGUAACUAAACCAUGCGUGCAUAUUACACCUUGUUCAUUCAACCAUCGUUACUACUAACACGGUACUGCUCUACUUUAGAGAAAUUUUGAAGAAUAUAGGAACCCUUGCAUGUCCAUGGUGUAGGACAGAGAUAUCCAGUCCGAUCUCCAAUCUUGAACUCGCAGUCUCUCAGUACAUAGUUGGCUCCAUUCAUUAAUUUUGAGCCACGUGCAUCUCGUCGUGGUAGUCAUCCAUCACGUGAGGCAGAACACAUCUAGGGAGCUUCUGUUCUUGAACUUGAGAGUAAUAUAGUAAGCAAUAUAUAUAGUAACACAUACAUACUAUGAUUUGAAAGAAGAAUGUGUGUAUGAAAGCGAUCAAAAUCAUACCAUGCAUUUUCUAGAAAUGUUGUUCUUGUUCAACGUGUGCACUAGUGGCAGGCGCGCGGUAUAUAUGGUGCAUCAUUUGGACCAACUCCGUCUUGGAAAAACGGUCUUGAAUAGCAAGGCAUACACUAGUCAAAAUGUAAAAAACAGAAAUUACACUUUGAAGCACAAAUUAUUACCAUAUAAUAUUUGUAGUCACUUUGAAGCAGGAGGGAGAAGCCAUUAUUGUUGUCAAGGUGUGAGGAUCAUCGCACAUUCCCCUAGUGUGGCAACAUUAGGGGCACUCUUCCAUUUUGUGCUACGUUCAUGUAAUUAAAAUCCACACGAUCCCCCUUCCUUCGACCCCGCCUUCUCCCGAACGAUCCCGCAGGCUCGCCCGAGAAACCUGCUUCUCCCGCACAUCUCGGGCGCCCACCCCGAGAAAACUGCCACUUCUUCACGUCCACCAAAUGAUAAAAAAAUAUUGCGCAUGUGGGAUUCGAACCCACACUUCCUUGGCACCAAAGCGCGCCACCACAAUCAACUCAGCCUUAGGUAUUUGUUGCUCAAAUUAAAGAAACUAAUCGUUUGGGCCCCUUUUUUUUACAAUUUUGUUACUACAAAAAGUACAGAAAAUUACCACGAUUUUCCCUCAGGACAAAGUUACCAUGGUAUUCGCAUGCAAGGUAUCAUGCCUGUGUUGCGUAAGUUACCGUGCUAUUUAUAUAGAACUUACCAGGUACUAUGUUUCAACAACUACACCCCUUUCAAAGGUACCACUGUGUUUUGUAUACAAGUUAUAAGGUCUUCGAUGUGUAAAAUACCGUGGUACUUACACAUAAGUUAUCAGGAUAUGUGUACAUCAACCUCGCCCCUGGUCAAAGUUACCAUGGGGGAUUGUACAUGAGUUACCGGGUCUACAAUUCGUAUAUUAUCAUGGUACUUACACCUAAAAACCUGGGUGUGUUCCGGUAACUUUUUACAUAGAUCAAAAAUUACCAUGAUGUUUCUGCGUAACUUAUCACACCUAUAGCGGGUCAAAGUGGGCCGUUUUUCUGGGCCAACCCAUGACACGUGUGCCCCUCAUGACACUAAACAUUAUGUGGCUUUUCCGUGGCACACCAAGUGUUGUGUUCAUCUAAGAGGACCCGCGAGGCAAGUAUAUGUUUUUAACAACUUGUUUUCCUUUGGUAAAAAGUUACCAUCAUGUUUAUAUUGUAAGUUGUCGGUUAUGCGGUGUUUAUAUUAUCAUGUUAUUCACACAAAAAUUAUCGGAGAUGUUUUGAACAACUUUUUCCCGGGACAGAAAGUUAUCAUGGUGAUUCUAGGUAACCUAUCAAGCCCGCAGUGCUUAAAAUAUCACGCUAUUUACACAAAAUUUAUCAGGGGUAUGUUUCAGCAAAAUUUUCCCCCACGGGUCAAAAACUUAUCAUGGUGUUUAGUUAUCGCAGUGCAUAUGUUUUCAUCCUAUUUACACAUAAAAAUACCAGGGGAGGGAGGUAUAGUACCAUGCUAUUUACACAGAAGAUACCGGAGUAUCUUUUCAAAAAAAAAUAUCUUCCCUAUGAUCAAAGUUACCAUGGUGUUUCUACCUCAGUUAUCAUAUGUGCGCUGUGUAUAUUACCAUCUAUUUACACAUAAAUUAUCGGAUAUCUUUUUACAAUUUUCUUCCCCAAUGGUUAAAGUUACCACGAUGUUUGUAACUAAAUUAUCAGGUGUAUGGUGUGAAUGUUAUCGUGCUAUUUACAGAAAUUACCGGGGGGCGGGGUUCAACAAGUUUCUUCCCAAUGAUCAAAGUUACCACGAUGCUUUCACCAAAGUUAUCAUGCCUUCGGUGCUUAUGACCAUGCUACUUACACAUAAUGUACCGCGUGGUAUACAAAAGUUAUCAUGUUGGUAGUGCGUCAUUUAUCGUGGUGGUGAUGGAGAAUUUACCACGGGAAAAGUUUAUGUGCCAGGUUUGAUAGGUGAAACAAAAGUUUUUCAGUGCUAAAAUAUUAAAGGCAAAACAUGUCAAAAACAGUAUUUCCCUUAGCUUGUUCAACAAUGGGUGUCAUAGGUGAGGUGGUUAGCUCCCUUAGUUGAUUACUUAUAGACCAAUGAUCAAAUCUCAAUCCCAGCAUUAUUUUUGCAUGAAAAACGGGGGGCGGGAAAGGAAGGAUAUCAGGCCACACGGUUGCCACUUACAUAUUUCAUUUUUUUAUAUAAAUUUAGUCAAACUUUGUGUAGUUUGACUUUGAUCAAAUCUUAUAUGCACAGUAAAAAGAAACGGAGGGAGUACAUGGGCACUUAUUGAUGAAGAACUUUGGUCGAUUAAGUGCCAAGUGCUGGUUGUUCGUUUUGAUGGAGAAACUCCCACAUGAUAAGUUUGUGCUAAUGGUGGUAACACUUUGGUCGAUCUGGACAUCACGGCGCAAAGCAAUACACGAGGCGGUUUUUCAAAGCUCCACAUGCAAUAAAAGAGUUCAUCACCCGGUUCAUCAGGGAUCUAGAUGACCCGGAAAAAAAAAGGGAUCUAGAUGCUGUGAAGGAGAAAAAUGCUGCAGAUCCUAUUCCCAUGGCGACUAUUGCAGCAGCAGGAACUGUUCGACAGCCCAAAGCACCACCAGAAACUUCGCAAAAAUACACGUAGACGCGGGUCGCGGGGUCAGAGCACAAAGAAGAAGUUCAGCAGCUGGGAUCUGUCGUGACAACCAAGGGUACUUUCCUGGGAAGUUCAGCUCUAAUAAUUGAUGGGGUACAUGAUCCCGCAACUCUGGAGGCUAUAGCCUGUCGAGAGGCUAUCCCACGGGCGCAACAUCUUCAGGUGCGAAACUUUGUCAUAUCGUCACAUUCAAAGCAAGUUGUCAAUAAUAUACUGAGGAGCAGUGAGGGUGUGUAUGGAGCCAUCAUCAACGAAAUCAUGGCUAGAUCAGCUCCUUUUUCCUGUAAUUUUAUUUUUCUUUCUAGACAUUUCAAAUGGACUACACCAUACAGAUGUAUGGAGACAUAUUUCAGAGUGUAGAUUCACUCAUUUUGCUCCGUAUGUAGUCACUUGUUGGAAUCUCUAGAAAGACUUAUAUUUAGGAACGGAGGGAGUAGUUAACUUUGAAGCUCAUUGAUUAGCUAAAUUUGCUCUUACUUUAGCUAAGGUCGUCAUGUGUGGCUUGGCAAGAUAAAUCCUGGUUUGCAUCCCACAUUCUGUGGAAUUCAAUCAAUAAAAUGGCUUCUACACCUAAAAAAACAUAUCCCCUCAAACAAGAACAUAGCCCACAAUUCUUGUCAGUUCAAAUUUGAACUAAAACCACAACAAGAAUUAUGGGGCAUAGGGAGUUUCUAUAUUAGAAAAUGACAUGGAAUUGAAAUGGAAAAGUAAAUUGUAGACAGUAUGCAAUCGAGUGAACUCAAUAUUUACAUCUUAGAAUAGAUAGCAGCCCAGGUGGAAAAACUGAAAUUGCACAAGCACCUUGUUUCAUAAAUAAAUAAAUAAAAAGGAGUAGCAGCAUAGAUUAUUAUUAUUAUCUCCCAUCGAAUUUGUGUUACAGGUACAGAAUUUUUAGCACAGCAAAGAGUUGAUUCAGCUUCAGCUCUAGCAAGAUACAAUCACUCAAAUGCUAGCAAUAAUGGGACAAAAUGUCCAUAUUGCAUAACCAUUCAUGCUAAAUUAUCGAAGGAAAUGGGGCUAGACUAC